rnacentral:lncRNA from 1 species
GGCCGUCAACAGAUGAGAAAAAUGUAAUAGCCUGCUCAGCAUUAGAUUAACAAGUUUUGUGUUGUGUUACUUUUAUGCAGUUUGAGCAAAAAAUAAUGGCAGUUGAAUGUUACAUAAAAGAGAAAGGAGCUUCAAAAGAAGAUGCAUUUGCUGUAUUUCAAACACAAGUCAUGAAUGCAUGGAAGGAUAUAAAACAAGAAUCUAUCAAUUCAGAUGUAGUACCAAUGGCUGUUCUCGUACAAGUAGUCAAUCUUGCACGUGUCAUCAAUCUUAUAUACAAAGACGGUGAUGGAGACACAAAUUCUAAAACAAAGUUGAAAGAUUUCAUAACAGCGAUACUCAUUCAACCAGUGACAAUAUCCAAAUGAGCAUAGUAGUGGUGCAGGUGACUUCCAUUUUAAUGUACCACCUCAUUGUCAUCCAUAUUUAGUGCUGUGUUGUCAAAUUCUACAACAUAAUUAGGUCUUGGUUAAGGUUAUUCAAACAUUGAGUUUCCUCGUAUCUAAAUGUGUCAAUAAUUGAACUAUAUAUCUACUAGAAAGCCCUUGGAGUAGCUAAAAAUUUGUAUUUGUUUUGUCCAAUGCUCUAAAUAAUGAUAUUAAUAUUUAAAGUUUAUGUAGAACAAUUAGAAUUGAAAGCUUUGUUAUAAUUCAUUGAUAUUCACAGGGACGGAUCCUCCAAGACCGGGGCUACAACGUGAAAAAAAAAAAAAUUACACAUAAAAAACUGAUUUUUACCAAAAAAUAAAUAAAAAGUACCUUUAAAAAAAAGUUGUUGGGCCUGGGGGGGGGGGGGGCUACAACCCUGCCCUGCCCCCCCCCCCCCCNNNNNNNNNNNNNNNNNNNNNNNNNNNNNNNNNNNNNNNNNNNNNNNNNNNNNNNNNNNNNNNNNNNNNNNNNNNNNNNNNNNNNNNNNNNNNNNNNNNNNNNNNNNNNNNNNNNNNNNNNNNNNNNNNNNNNNNNNNNNNNNNNNNNNNNNNNNNNNNNNNNNNNNNNNNNNNNNNNNNNNNNNNNCCCCCCCCCCCCCCCCUCCAAAUCCAUCCCUGGAACUACUUAUGUACAAAAUAUAGGACACAUUAUAUAUGAAAAUACAUGAUUCUGGGAGCUGUAAAAGGCUAAAUCAAAUCUGUAAAUUGUAUGCUCUCUAUGCAGAUUUGAUGGAGAUUUCUCCAGCAAUAUGAGUAAUAUUGAUUUGCUUAAUUCUGGUGAUUGAUUGCUUAAUUUCCUUAGAUCCAAUAUUUAGGCAUUUAAUUACUACGAAAUUUGUAAUUUAAUGCACAACAAAUUUAUUUAAAGUCGCCGUCCUAAGCAAUUAGUAUUUUAUAGAACAAAAAUAUUCAAAAGCUUAAAAUUAAUAUAUUUGAAAAAAGAUUACAAAUUAGAAAAUUAUAGACAGACCUUGAAUAGUGACAAUUACAGAUACACCCUUUGCUUUGUGCUAUUUUGAAAUACUUAUUAAAUACAAUUACACAAUUUUUCCUUUAUUUCUUAAAAAUUCUUUUCAUAUUUUUUAUUAGUCUUAGUUAAAAGAAUAUCAUUAUAAAUUGUAAUAAUAUCUUAAAAGAUUUUAAAAUAUAAUUUAUUUUCUAAGAAUAUUAUAUGUCUUGCAAAUAUGACCGACAGCUAUUUUUAAAAAAUGAAAAUAAACACGUGUUAUAGUAUAAUUUAAUAAAGAAAAAAUAAUAAUUUUUAAAUAUUUUAUAUUUCUUCAUUUAGUAGCAUUUUCUAUAAUUUUUACUCAUUUAUUCUCUUAACAUUUAAAGUACAUUUAGAGUAUUAAACUAAAAUUCAGUACUAAAAAUCAGAUUUUCACCUACAUCCGUUGGUAAUUAGAAAUGGAUUAUCCGUUAGUAAAAGUUAUUACUUUCGCUACGAUAAUCAGUAACGAAUUUUCCGUUGGUAACAAUGAUAUCUUUUUACCAACGGAUAUUUUGUGCCUCAUAUAAUCAUUUAACAUUUGGAUCUUUCACCUAUGGAAUAUCUGUUGAUAACGUACUGAAUAUUACCAAUGGAUGCAAUCCGUUAGUAAUUAGAAAUUGAUUAACCGUUGGUAAAAAUAAUUUACUUUCAACUACGAUAAUCAGCAAUGAAUUUUUCAUUGGUAACGACGAUAUCUCUUUACCAGCAAAUAUUUCAUGCCUCAUAUAAUCGUUUAACAUUUGAAUCUUUCACCCACGGAUAUUUUGUUGGUAAUUAGAUACAGAUUAUUUGUUGGUAAAAGGAAUUCACUUAUCCUACAUUGAAAGUUCACAACAAAGUCUUUGGAAUUGCCCUCUAUAAAUUAAUUUGUGAUCCAGUUUUUGGUUAAACAAUCUUUUGGCCUUUCAAUUCGGUUGGCUAAAAGUUAAAAAAAUUAAAAUUAUUAAAUAAAUAAUAAUGACAAUAAAAAAAAAUUACCAUGCCUCACAUCUAUGCGGCUAUUUACAAAAUUGAUUUUUUUCCAAUUGUAAUUGUAGACAUUUACUAACGGAAAGUCAGUUGGUAUUGGUUAAGAUUUUUACCAACGGAAAUUUCAUUGGUAAAAGAUUCACACUUUACCAACGAAAAAUUCAUUGAUAAAAUGUUUAUUCUUUACUUACGGCAGAAUCCGUUGCUAACUAUCAGCGACCCUCAAAUUAGCAACGGAUUUGAGGUUGCAAAUAUUUUGUUGGUAAAGAGUAAUAGCAAUGGAUAUAUUCGUGCCGGAAGCCAUUUUUUUAAUAGUGAAUAUCGUAAUAAAGUUGGCAUCAAAGAUUUAGUAGUUUAUUUUUUUUAAGCCAGUAUUUUAGUUCUAUUUUUAAUUUAUUCAUUUUUAAAAUGAGAAAUUAAUUUUAAUUAGUGGUUUUUAUUACUUACUUUAACGAUAAGUAUAACUUUGUACUCAUUGAUCACGGCCAUAAGAAAAGGGACAUAUGCAAUGACUUUAAUUGAAUUGAUACUUAAUUUUUAUUGUAUAUAGAUUGAUUUAUGAGAAACUAGAUAUUGUAUUGCAUAUGAAGAAAUAGGGGCAGAAAUUGAAUGAUAAGGACUAAGAAUGAACAAAUUAUGGAAAAUGGGGACUAAGGUUUAAAUAUUUAAACGAUGAAGGACCAACAAUGUAAAUAGGAAGGGACUUGAGCUGAAUUAAUACAAAAAUUUAGUGACUAACUUGAAUCGGAAGCAAAAAAGAUGAAACUUGCAAUCGCAAGACUCUACCUACGCGAUCACUAGUUUCACCAACAAGUUCAAGAAUAUUAUCAUACGAUCGCAACAAAGAUUACCCUGCAAUCGUGUUGGUCACGAUCAUAUGGCUUUACAAGGUAGAAGAAAUUUUAUUCCUUUAUUUUAAUCAAGAUCGAUCUACAUUGAAUGGGAUUUUGGAGUACAAAUUUCACCUAAUUCUAGAGGCUACUAAGAGGAUUAUUCAUCUAGCAAAAGGGGAAGAUAGUUUUUGGGGUGACAUAAACAUAAUUCUGUACACUAACCAUCAAGAGCUUUGUUUCAAGCAAGAGAGAAAUGGGAUUUCUUGAGCACUCUAUUGAAGACAUUCAAAUAGACUAAAAUUAAUACUCAAAUUUCUUCUUGCAAUUACAUAUUCUGGGUUUGAAUUCUCAAUUUAUUAUGUAUUUUUUGUAAUUUAAAUGUGAUAGGCUAAAUCUUUAGUAAUUCUCAAAUUGUUUUGUCCAAUGUUCUGGAUACUGAUAUUAAUGUGUGGUCCGAAAUUUGAGACAUUAAUUUUGUCUUUAUGAUAGUUGGUCUGAAAAUGCAAUAUCCUCCACAUGGUCACAACAGCACUUGAAAGUUGGAUUUUUCUUAUUUAUUUAUUUUUAAAAACUUGAAUAAACUGAAAUAAAUCACCAUCAACACAAACUGCCAUUUUUAAAAAAUUGAAGAUUGAUACUGUUUCUCUAUUAAAAACACAGUUCAUUUUCUGAUCAAAUUCUAAGACUAAAAUUAGGUAUUUAUAUUCAAAACACAGUUCAUUUUCUAUCCAAAUUCUGAGACUAAAAGUAAAUUAAAAGAAUAUGGAAUGAAUAUUUAAAUUCCUCCAUCGACUUCUAACAUAAUUACCACAAAUGUGACAUUGGUGUUCUGUCACAUAUCAUUCAACCCUUUAAGUGUAUUUCCCUGCAUAUAAUUCUGACCUCACAGUAAAAUUAAUUAGUUCCCCUAUCUUGAAAUAAGGCAUUGCUCUAGAUCUAAUACUUAGGCAUUUAAUUAUCACAAACACUUUACUUUGAUGCACAACAAAUUUAUUUUCAACAUAUGGUUUUCUAGCAAACAGUAUUUUAUUAAACAAAGGGUAAUUGUCAAAAAAGUCCAUACCUUUUAAGUUUAUUGUGAAAAACGUCCCUAUUUUUCAUUUUUUGGCAUUUUUGCCCAUACUUUUCACAUUUUUUUGCGCUGGAUGUCCUUUUCAUCAAUUUCUAUCGUAAAAUGACUAAUAUACCAUCCUAUUUAAAUAAAACAACAAAAAGAAAGAAUAAAUUGCAACUAUAAGCCCAAACUUUUUGAAAAGUGCAAAUUAGUCCAAAUAAAUUAUUAAAAUAAAAAAAAAAAAUCUUUCUCAAUUCUCUUCACCUCCCCUUGCUUACGCCUCCUCCACCACCACCACCACCACCAUUGCCAUCUCCUAAACCACCGAAACUCACACCAUAAACUGUUGACAUCAACCCCAAACACUUAUGAUAAAAAUUGGAUACAAAUACUACUCAAUUAAAAUGGGAUCUAAACUCGUAUGCUUCAAACUGUCCCAAAUUAAAUCAAUUGCGUGAUUUGUACAAAAUUGUUGAAGACCCAGAGUUGUAAUAGCUUCACCAUGAUGAGAGAUUGCUGAAUAUGGUGGUCCGUGAUCAUGAUGUUCACCACUCACCAAAAUUUCGCCUAAAACCUGGGUGAUGAUUGCGUUCAAAAUGUUUGGCUUCAGAUGUUGAUUGGGUGGUUGAAUAGGUGUUUGGGGAUCAUGGUUUGAUUCAUCAUGAUGAGGGGAAUCUACCAAUAUGUUGGCUUGGGUUAGGAAUCGUCAAAAAGGAAGCUGUCAAUAGUUUUGGUUUGUGCGAUUGGCAAAUUUUGGAGAGAAAUUCCGGCCAAUUCACCUGGAGUUAGGGCCAACUAUACAACCUACGCAACAAUUGGCUUGAUUAAAAAGAUGGAUUGAUUAAAAAUUUAUUUAACAAUAAUUUAUUUGGUUGAUUCUAUCAAAGUUCGAUCUUAUCCAAAAUAAUUUUUUCUUGAAUUUAAUAUACAUGAUUAAUUAUGAGUUAUUGAACAAGUCUAAUAUUAUUAUGGUAAUAUGAUUUAAUUUGAAAAGCAAUAUUACAAUUCAGUAGUUUACUUUUAUACAAGAUAAAUUUUUCAUGAGUCCUUUAUGUCCAUAAUAUGAUUAUCGAAAACAACUAGAAUUUGCUACUUUACCUUUUGAAUCGUGCCAAAUAUUUGUUUAAAAUAUAAAUAUUUGAUUUAUUUAAAUAUUCAAGUAUUUUUAGGCAUGUACAGUUAUAUAUAUAUAUAUAUAUAUAUAUAUAUAUAUAGAAUUGGGAAUAUGCGGUUCGUGAGCCUUUAUGACUAUUCUCUUUUGUAUUCCAUUUCAUCCUUCAUACACGGUUCACGGUGAUUUGAUUUAUGAAAAUAUUCAUUUGCUUUUCUUCAAAAUUUAGUAAAUAAAAAUAAAAAAUUAUCGAAAUUGUUACCAAUGAGGUUCUCGACGCAAGGCGUGCAUGGCAUCAAUGUCAACCCUCAAGCCUUAUGAAUCCAAUAUAUUAAAAAAAAAAUUUCUUGUUUUUAACGUGAUUUUAAUUUUUCUAAGAUUAUUUAUAAUAUUUCUUUUUAUUUUAUAUAUAUAUAUAUAUAUAAUGUGCAUGCCUAGGCUUGAAUGAGUCGCGCCUUCUUCACUAGUGUAACGACCCAAGCACAUGAAACUAACUAGCACAAAUUAAUCAAUAGAAGAAACUCAUACCCUAAUAAAAUAUAUUCCAAACAAAUGCUAAAAACCAUGCAUAUCACAUUUAUUAGAUAAAUAAUAAAAUGUUAAUUUCACUAAUAUAGCUUGACAUAGAUUGAAAAUUAUAACCCAAUAAAUCAUAUUUGUUGUAAAAGAAAAGUUUAUUAGAGUUUAGAGAUAAAUGACAAUUACACCCCCGUAGUCCUUGAAAUAAUUACUGUUGUAUACCUGAUACUGCCCUAUAAAUACAGGGCUUUAGUUCUUAAUAAAAUACAUACAAGUCUAUUGACUUCUCUCUGUUCUCUUCACUUUUCUUCUCUUUUCACAACGUGUUAUCAGCAUAAAAGCUUAAUUUUUUCAAGGUCUAGUGAAGAUAGUAUUUCUUUUAAAAGCAUAAUCAUCUAUUGCGUGUAUCAAAACUAAUUUGAUUACAUGUAAAAUUUCUUUUACAUAUACACAGUUAAAUAUCCUAGUUAUGGUAUUGCACCCGCCGCCAGUACCUAGCUUCUUGAUUCUUUCAAAUUCAAUGAUUCACGCAAAUUUGAUUCUGCAUAUUGUUGCUACUAAUUAAAUCUGUUAUUGCGCCUAAAAGGAAAUUCUUCGGUAAUUAGUAGUUGCUAUUAAUUAAAUCCAAUAAUUCAAUUUUUUUAGUUAUGUACACGUGUUCCCAAGGUAACCUUUGUGCCAAACUUCUAUUUACUUUAAUUGACUUUUGCACGUUAAUUAAUUUAUGAAAAUUAGCUAUUGCUUCAGACACUUCAUAAUAGGUUUUUUAGAAUUCACGUCAUAAUAUGUGAACUGGUUUCUGUACUUUAAAAAAGAAAUUCAUGUUUACAUGGUAAUUAAAUAUUAUUUUCACGUGCAUGCUUGAAAGAUUUUUUUUCUUUACUUAUACAUUUUUUGUGAUUAAUGCUUGCAUGUAAAUUCAUAUCAUAUCUAUAUGGUAAUUAAAUAUAUUGGAUGUUCUUAUAUAAACUUUAACUUAACAAUUUAUCAUGUUGUUGCUCCUAAAGUAACACAACAUUAUAAUUAAUAUUCCAGAAGCAUAUUAAUUGAAAAUCUAUCUAUUAUAUAUAGUUUGUUGAUGCUUUUGAAGUAGCACAAUAUUAUAAUUAGUAUUCUUAGAGAAUAUUACUUGCUCCUGAAGAGCAUAAAUUAUAUUUUUCAAUAUUCCAGAAGAAUACUAAAAUAUUGCUCUUGAAAAGGUGACAGUAAAAUACGUGUUUCUGAAGUAGCACAUGUUUUGAAGAACAUAUUAUUUUAAAUUAAUGUUUAUCGCUAAGGGAAAACAUGCAACUUAUUUCAUGAUUAACUAUUAUGUGAUGUCUAAUAAUAUUCUUCGAAACUAAUUGUAUUCUCUUUUUACUUUACUGUGUAGUUAAUCAAAUGGCAAAUACCACAAAACUAGAGUUUAUUGCACUUGCAUCUCUGGCAAAAACUAUCUAUCAUGGAUACUUGACGAUGAUAUUCAUCUUGUCUCAAAAAAUUUGAGGGAGACAAUAAAAGAAGAAAACAAAGAAUCCCGCAGGAUCGUACAAAAGCACUAUAUUCCUUCGCUAUCAUCUUCAUGAUGGACUGAAAUUAAAUAUCUCACUGAGAAAGAUCCACAGGUUUUUCGGAAAAAAUUUACUUGAGAGAUUUGAUCAUCAAAGGACUAUAGUCCUCCUCAAAGCCCGCUAUGAGUGGAUGCACCUUUGUUUGCAAGAUUUCAAAACUGUUAUUGAGUACAAUUGUGAAUUGUUCAGAAUAUGUUCAAAAUUGAUAUUGUGUGGAGAAAAAAUCACUAAUAAAGAUAUGUUGGAGAAAACUUUUUCCACCUUUCAUGCAUCGAAUGGCUCUUGCAGCAGCAAUAUCGUGAGCGUGGUUUUAAAAAGAACUCAAAACUUAUAUCUUGCCUACUUGUUGCUGAAUAGAAUAAUGAACUGCUGAUAAAAAAUCAUGGAUUACGUCGAACAAUUGCCUAAAGCAAAUGGCACUAUAUUACCUGAAGCAAAUACAAUAUCAAAACAAGAACGUGGACUUGAAUACGGUUUUGGACGUGCACGCAGAAUAAACAAUGGACGAAAUAAUCAACAAAGUUUUCAACAACAAUGCAACAAUUUCUAAAGGCACAAAGCAGACAAAAGUAGUACAUUAAAAAAGCUAUGAAGAAAGUUGCUUUAGAUGUGGAAUGAAAGUGCAUUGGACACGUACCUGUCAUACAGCAAAACACCUUGUGGAUCCCGAUCAAAAAUCAAUCAAGAGAAAGAGAAAAGUGAAGACAAAUUUUGUUGAUUAUGAUGGUCCAAUUGAUAUGACUCAUUUGGAUGUCUUUGAUUUCUUUGCUGAUCCAAAUGAAAAUAUUUACCAUUUGAUUAGGGAUUGUGUGAUGGAAGAUAUAGAAUAGUUUUUUUUUUCUUUUUUUAUAUAUAUUUCUAGUAUUUCCCUUUAUUUUAGAAAUUUACUUUGAAAUAUGUUUUUACUUUUCGCAAAACUUUUGAACUUUAUUAUGCAUCGUUAAUUUUACAGUAUUCAUUAUGUUAUCAUUUUGAAUUUAAAUUCAAGUUUUUUUUAAAUGUGUCUAUUUUGUUAUAUUGAUAUAUUCAUGAUGGAUUGUCAAGAAACCUACUUGAUUGAUAGUGCAAUUACACAUGCUACUCUUCAAGAUAAAAAAUAUUUCUUGGACUUAACAUUAAAAGAAAAUAAUGUAAAUACAAUAUCAGGCGCAUCGAAUAUCGUUUAGGGCUUUAAAAGAGCUUGUAUUAUUUUACCAAAUAAUAGAAAAUUAUUUAUUGACGAUACACUUUAUUCUAGUAAAUCCAGAAGAAAUUUAAUUAGUUUUAAAGAUAUCUGCUGCAACGGAUACCAUAUUGAGACGAUGUAAGAAAAUAAUACUGAAUAUCUUUGCAUAACUUCUUUUGUAUCUGAUCAGAAGCAGAUAAAAGAAAUAAUUUAUGCACUCACAUCUGGCAUGUAUUAUACAUUUAUAAAAAUGGUUGAAUCAAAUAUUAUCAUGAAUCAGAAGUUCGUUGACCUAAAAAGUUUUAUACUAUGGCAUGAUUGACUUGGACAUUCAGGAGCUAUAAUGAUGAGACGAAUAAUAAAUAAUUCACAUGGACAUUCUUUAAAGAACCAGAAGAUUCUUUUUCCUAAUGAUUAUCCAUGUGUAGAUUAUUCGUAAGACAAAUUAGUCAUUAGACCUUCAACUAUAAAGGUCAAUAUUGAAUCUUCAACUUUCUUGGAAAGAAUUCAUGGAGAUAUAUGUGGACCAAUACACCCACCAUGUGGAUGAUUUUGUUAUUUUAUAGUAUUAAUUGAUUCUUCUACUAGAUUGUCACAUAUUUGCCUACUUUCCACCAGGAAUGUAGCAUUUGCUAGACUACUUGCUCAAAUUAUAAAAUCACGAGAACCAUUUUUGGAUUAUUCAAUUAAAACUAUUCAUCUUGAUAAUGUUGAUGAAUUUAGAUCACAAGUAUUCGAUGAUUAUUGUAUGUCAAUCAGGAUUGUAAUUGAACAUUCAGUUGCACAUGUCCAUACACAAAAUAGUUUGAUGGGGUCAUUUAUCAAAUGUCAUUGAUGGACCAUUACUUAUGAAAACAAAACUCCCAACUUCUAUUUGGGGUCAUGCCAUAUUACAUGCUGCAUCAUUGGUUCAUCUUAGACCAAUUGCCUAUUAUGAAUAUUCAUUUUUGCAACUGGCAUUUGGUUAUGAACCUGAUAUUUCUUAUCUACAAGUCUUUGGUUGUGCUAUCCAAGUCCCUAUUUCAACCCCACAACGCACUAAAAUGGGUCCUCAACUAAGACUUGGGAUUUAUGUGGGUUUUCAUUCAUCAUCAAUUAUUAGGUAUCUUGAGCCUUUAACGAGUGACUUAUUUACUGUACGUUUUCUAAAUUGUCAUUUUGAUUAAAUGACUUUCCCAACUUUGGGAGGAAAAAAAUUAUAUCCUGAAAAACAAGGUAAAAUUUAUUAGAUUGAAACAAAUAUAUCUCACUUUGAUCCUCGCAACAAUCAUUGUGAGCAAGAGGUUGAAAAAAUUAUUCAUUUGCAAAGAAUUGUAAAUCAAUUACCUGAUAUAUUUGUUGACACAAGAAAAAGUGUCAAAGUUAUAGAUACCAGCAGAAAAAUAUUUCAGCAAAAAUUGAUGUUCCUGAAUGACAAUUUAUUGUGGCAAAUGAAUCUCAAAUAAGCGAAGAGCAUGGUCGACCAGUUGGUUCAAAAGACUCUGUACCUUGAAAAAGAAAAGUACAAGUGAACAACCAACCAAAAAAUUUGGAAGAAGUCACAUCAGAAAUAAUUGAUCAAUCAAAUAUUGAAGAUAUGGUUCCUAAAGAACCACAACUGUUCGAAAAUAAUGAUAUUUCAAUAAAUUAUAUGUUAUCUUGUAAAUUAUGGGAAUGAAAUACUGUUGUUACAAACAAUAUUUUUGCAUUUAAUGUGGCUCUUGAUAUUAUGCAAAAUGAAGAUCAUGAACCACAGUUGUUUAAAGACUGUCAAAAUAGAAAUGAUUGGCAAAAAUGGAAAAAAGCCAUGCAGGCAGAAUUAAAUUCUUUGGAGAAAUAAAAAGUGUUUGGACCAAUUGUUCAAACACCUAAAAAUGUAAUCCUUAUUGGAUACAAAUGGGUUUUUAAUUGAAAGGGAAAUGAAAAUAAUGAAAUUACAAAGUACAAAGCUCGACUAGUAGUUCAAGAUUUCUCACAAAGGCUAGGAAUUGAUUAUGAGGAAAUAUAUUCUCCCGUAAUGGACACAAUCACUUUUAGAUUUUUAAUUAGUUUGACUAUGUCACAAAAUCUUGAUAUGCGCAUUAUGGAUAUAGUAACUGUAUAUUUGUAUGGUUCACUUGAUAGUGACAUAUAUAUGAAUGUCCUUGAAGGACUUAAAGUACCAGGAACAAACAAUAUAUGCCCGAGAACUAUGUUCUCAAUUAAAUUGCGAAAAAUCAUUAUAUGGAUUAAAACAAUUCGGACGCAUGUGGUAUAAUUUCCUUAGCGAAUAUUUGUUGAAGGAGGGUUAUAAUAAUGAUGAUGUCUAUCCAUGUGUUUUCAUAAAGAAAACAAAUAUUGGAUUUGCAAUAGUGGCAAUUUAUAUUGAUGAUUUAAAUUUAAUUAGAACUCCUGAAGAGCUCAACAAAAUUGCUGAUUAUUUGAAGAAUGAAUUUGAGAUUAACGAUUUGGGAAAAACCAAAUUUUGUCUCGAAUUGAAAAUUGAACAUUUCGCAGAUAGAUUACUUGUUCUUCAAUCUACGUAUAAAGAAAAAGUUUUAAAAAUUUUUUGUAUGAAUAAUGCACAUCCAUUGGCAUCACUUAUGAUUGUUUGAUCACUUGAUGUGAAAAAUGAUCCAUUUCGUCCACUUGAAGAUGGAGAAAAUGUUUUUGGUCCUGAAAUAUCAUAUUUUAGUGCAAUUGGAGUAUUAACAUAUCUUGUGAAUUGCACUCGAUCCAACAUAGCUUUUUCUGUAAAUCUCCUUGCAAGAUAUAGCUUUACACCAAUUUAACGAUAUUGGAAUGGUGCUAGACAUAUUUUUCGUUACCUAAAGGGUACUAUUUAUUUUGGAUUAUUUUAUUCUCAAAAGUUAAGGUCUACUUUAGUGGAAUAUGCAGAUGCAGGUUAUCUAUCUUACCUACAUAAAGCUAAAUCACAAACAGGUUAUGUGUUUACACGUGGAGGAACGACUAUAUCAUGAAAAUCUAUGAAAUAAUCCUUGACAGCUACAUCCUGAAGUCAUUCCAAAAUUAUUGCAAUUCAUGAAGAAGGCUGAGAAUGUGUAUGGUUGAGAAACAUGACCCAUCAUAUCCAAACAUCAUGUAGGUUAACUUCAAUAAAAGAUAGUUCAACAAUUUUGUAAGAAGACAAUGGAGCAUGUAUUGCACAACUCAGAGAAGGUUAUAUCAAAGAUGACGCGAAGAAUCAUAUUUUCUCCAAAAUUCUUUCAUACACAUGAUCUUCAAAAAAAUGGCGACAUCGAUAUCCAACGAAUCCACUCAAGUGACAAUGUGGUCGAUUUAUUCACAAAAGCACUGCUAACAUCUACAUUUAAGAAAUUAGUUCAAGAGAUUGGAAUGCGUUGACUCAAAGAUCUUCAGUGAUCAACAUCAGGGGGAGUAGCUGUACUCUUUUUCCUUUGCUUAGAUUUUAUCCCACUGGGUUUUCUUAACAAGGUUUUAAUGAUGCAACAUUUAUUUUUAGUACUCCAAAAUAAUUGUACUCGUUUACCUUCAUUUGAUUUUUUUCCAUUGAAUUUUUAUCAAAUAAGGUUUUAACGAAGCAGAAUUUUGUAAUGUGUCAUUUAAGGGAAAUUAUUUUAAAAGGAAAAUUUAUUAGGGUUUAGAGGCAAAUGACAGUUACACCCCUGCAGCCCUAGAAAUAAUUAUUUUUGUAUCUCUAAUUAUGUUUUAUAAAUACAGGGCUUUGAUUUUUAAUAAAAAACACACAAGCUUAUUGACUUCUCUCUGUUCUCUUCACUUUUCUUCUCUUUUCACAACAUAUCUUAAAUAUAUAACUAAAUCAUUAUGAAAUAACUAAGAUAAUGCAGAAAUUAAAAUUGUCUCUUUACAUCGGAUUAUUUUAUUGAAUCCCAUUAAUUCUGGCACCUCAAGUGCACAUCAUCGCUCGUCAACAAACUAUCCGUUCUAACAUGUGAGGAGUAGGGAAAAAUGGUAUGUGAAAAUACUCAAUAGGACACGAAAAUGGUGGUGCAAUCCCAAAUAAAAAUAUUUAAAACAUGCAUAAAAAAUAUCAUACCGUCUUCAUAUCUUUAGAAACUAGUAAGAGCUCAAUACAUAUCAGAUCUUUGGAGCCGCAUGGCCAUAUCAUACAUAUCAUAUUAUAUCAUAUCUUUAACUUUCAUAAACAUAAUAAUUUAACAACAUGCAAAAAACAAUUUAAAAGGGAUAAAAAUCAAUGGCUCCUCAUUAUCCUAUCUUGCUUGAUCAAUCAAAUUUUGAAAGGAGAAAGCAGGUUUCCAAUAUUCAUUUUUUUGCCUACCACUGCAGUCGUGUGCGUAUGAAUAUUCUACUAUAGAAUAAAGAUAUAAAUGAAUAGUCUUUAAGUUAAAAAAAACAAUUGAAUUUUUUGGUAAAAUAGAAUUACAUAGAGCCGUGUGCCACAAUGCAGAGGUCACUAUCAAGAUAAUGCCCCCGUUUAGCCUCCAUUUUCUGGAAAUGAAAAUGGGUGGAAUAGUAUUUUUUUGAAAAAUAAAUGGUUGAAAAAGAGAGAAAAGAUUUCGAUUUACGUGUAAUAUUAUUUUAUUGAAGAUUGUAUGGUUGAAAAAUAAGGGAGAAAAAAUGGAAUGUAAUGUAAUGAAAUUUAAUGGAGACCAAACGGGGUUAAUAUUUCAUCAUUAUCCCAUUCAAAAAAAUAAUAAUAAAUAAAAAAAUAAAUCUCAUUUGUAUCUAAUUCUACACAUGGGUCCUACCCAUUUCAAACCCAAUUUUUAUUUAUCAAAAACAAGUAAUAACAACUUCUUUAAACUUCAAUUACUUUAGCUUCUCUUAUUGGAAUUAACUUUUAUCGAACGUACCAUACAUAAUUAAAUACGAACUAUCCAAUGAGCCCCAUAUUGAUUUAUUUUUCAUCGCUUUAUCAAUAUCUAAAUAUUUGAUCCAAAAUUUGAAUUAAUUUAUACAUCAAUUUAGUCCCCCAACUUUUCAAACUAAUAAAAAUAUAGCAUAUAGAACAAGAAAUUCAAGUCUAUAAUUUUUCUUCUUAUUUAUUAAUCUAUUUAUUAUUAUUAUUAUUAUUAUUAUUAUUAUUAUUAUUAUUAUUAUUAUUAUUAUUAUUAUUAUUAUUGGUUUUACAACUAGGCUCAACUAGACCCCACAGGCUUCUUCCACCUUUUCGAAUACUAAGGGUGUGUUUGAUUGCGAGCAUAGAUUUACAUGGAAAGAAAAUAAGUUCUAAACAAUUGAAUUGACUAGAAAGUAUUUACAUGAAAAUUGUUGGUUAAAUGUAUUUGAUUGAUUUUAUUUUCAACCUAGAAAAUAUUAUAUUUUUCCAUUUUUUAUUGGUUGGUAGAUGAAAGAGAUAAAGAGAGAGUGAAUUACUAGGAAAAUAAAAACAUACUCCUCUAAAAAAAAUAUUCUCCUUGUUUUCAAAAUAAUAUAUAUAUAAUUAAGUACCAAUAGUAUGGAUUUGGUACUUAAUUUACUCUUCCACCUGCAAGUUGGUCUCAAAUUUGAGCAAAUAACUUCUCAACUUUUCAUUAACGUUGCGACCUAGCUCUUAGUUCGGAAUGUCAAUAGGCGCAAGCUGUCAUCGAAUUGUUUGUUUGGCUCAUGCCUAUAAAUGCCUUGGCUCAACUCUGAGGCAAGUCUUAGGGUAAGCAAAGUCGAGAACUUCCCGUGCAAGUGCUGACUCAUUUUCGCAUUUUUUUUCCGUCUAAAAAUGUUGCAAUUUCUCAAACAGUUUCUUCCCAUCUUUCUACACUGUUCCAUAAUUUCGUAUAUCACUCAAUAGUAUUAUAAAUUUGCAAUUAUUCUUACUGUUGUCAUUUUUUUUUGCAAUUAUUGCUUCAACUUCUCACUACUCACCAGUUACCAACCAUUUAUUGCUUUUUCCUUCUAUUUUCGACGAAAUUUCGAAUGGAUUAUAGUGGACUGAACCCCAGUUAGGAUGUCCAAAUAAGUAUUUCAGAAAAAGAGAAAAAAAAAUUGAGGCAAAUAGUUUUGUUUGGUUUCAAACGGUUUUUAACUAUGAAAAUCUAAACCUAAUAAUUUCUAUGCGGCACCUCAAUUUGAAGCCGAAAUAUAAACGGAUACUUAUGGAACAAACCAACAGUUUGAUGGGUUGCGAUUUCUAUUCACCUGAAGUAGAAACCAUAAAUAUAUUAUAAUUAGUAAGUUGUGGAUUAUACAUAAAAUGAUCUUUACAUUUAAGGUCAUUGGGUAUCCACGUUAUUCACAAAAUAUUAUCAACAUUUUCAUUGCCAUCUUUAGAGAUUAUUAUUAUUAUUAUUAUUAUUAUUAUUUUGUGAACAUAAAGUCAUAGUUUCACUUUUGAAAAUGCAAAUGAUAAUAAUAAUGUUAAAGAUUUAUUGAUUAACCUACUUCAUCCUCAUUUUGAUGCCCAACUUUUCCAUUUGUUCAGUGUUUCUCAUAUUUUUAAUUUAAAUGUACAAGAUGACCUUAUGUAUUUAAUCUACGGCAAAAAGUUUAGACAUCUUUUAGAAAAAAAAAUUGAAAAAUAACCCCAUUUUAAAUCUUUGUGUAUGUGUAACUAUUUUUUUUUCUCAAAACAAUACCAUGUUACUUCAGUUCACAGAAUUUAACAUAUUUUUGUUACUUUUGUAUUAAAAUCAAAAUUUCAAAUCUACAUUUUUUAUUACAUGUUAAAAAUCACAUUUCACAUGAGUUAUAUGCGUGUUACCAUGUUUACUUUUAUAUAUUACUCUAAUACUUAUUUUUUAUAUAAGAGUAAGAUAUGUGUUACUUGUAUUACUCAUGUUACUGCUAAUCCAGACUCUAACACCAUCCCAUCUAAAACAGUUUCCAACCAUUACUGCAAUCUUCCACCACCACCAUCACAUCCCAUUGCAAAUUAUUAGGUCGGAUUUCUCUGAUCUCAACCAACACCAUCCGAAUCAAAUCAUUCGAACUCACUUCAAAUUAAUUUCAAGUAUGGAUUAGCACAGGAAAAAGUUACAAGCAGAUUAUGCAAUUUUUGAAGUCUAACCCAGCCAUUGAAGGAAAACCAAAAAAAUAAAAAUAUAAUAGUAAUGAUUGAGAUUUAAAUUUGAAAACAUAUAGCAUGAACUUCAAAAUUGAAUUAUGGAACUGCAGCUUUCAUGGAACGAGAAAGCAGAUAUUGAGUCACUUUGGUUUGGACAAAAAGUCUGCCACUAUUUCUUCCAAGUCCAUUUAAUCAGCACCUAGAACGUCCAGUGGAUCCAAAAUAGGAGAAAAUAGUGCAGAUCUGGUAGUAAACGUGGUGACAAGUGACGAUCAGUGUUGUUAAAUUUGGGGUGGGAUGGUGCCGUAUUUAUUGGCCAACAAAAACUGGAUCGAAAGGGGAACAAAGUGUAGAUCUCACGAUGUUGGUGGUUGAAGAAGGUGAUGAAUUGGUGGGAGAAGUGUCAGCGGCGAUAGGCGUUGGAGGUGGUGAAAGUAGUGGUGGCAGGUUGAUGUCUGGAGGAUUAUGUUUGGUGACUACUUCUUCCAUUCCAUAAAGAUGAGCUUACUUUUCUUUUAUGUAUGUCCCAAAUUUUAGGCACUUUCCUUGGUGGUAUAGUUAAUUUCAUAAAAAUUACACCCAACCAUAAUUUUUAAGAUUCAACUUAAAAAAUCAAUUUUGAAAUUUUUAUAUACAAAAAUCAGAUGAUAAUAUAAUAUUAUAAAUAUUAAUAAUAAUAUUACAAAAAUUAAAUUAUUUUACAUAUCCGCUCCACUAUCAUCUACCAUCCCAAAUCCUAAUUAUUUCCCAAUCUAUUCUUUCUUUCUCUGGUGAACCAUCCAUUUUCUCUUCUUCUCACAUCUCUCUCUACCCUCCCCCUCCUAAAAUUGCCCCAUUGCCCACCAUCACUGUCACUACCACCACACCCAUGGGAAUGCAUCAUCCGUCGAUCUGAGAUCUCAUAGCAGCACGAUCUGAGAGCCAACAAGUGAAUCUAUUUUUUCGCUCUCUGUACCAGUGCCUCCUCCAUUUUCUUUUCAUCUCCCACAUCGCGAUGCCGCUGUGUCGCCACCAUGCCCAGCGCUAUACGUUGCUCAUCAAUCUGGGAGUGACGUUGGUCUGAGAUCUUUGAGCAACACGAUCUGAGAGACAUCGAUGGGUUCUAAUGGUGUGGUGCUGUGGUGGUGGUUUUGAGGUUGUUGUGGUUGCGGUACGGUGUGGUGUAGUUGAUUGUGUGAUUUGUGGUUGCGGUGUGGUUGGUUGGUUAGUUGACGUUGGUGGUGGUGGUAGUCAUGAUUGUGCUUUGUGGUGGUGUGGUUUUUGCAUUGUUGUGUGUGUGAUGGUUGUGGUUAGUGUUGUGGUUGCCGUGGUGUGGUGAUUGCAAGGACGGACAUAGUGGUGAUUAUUUGUUUGAUUGUGACUCACAAUUUUUUAAUCAGUGACCAAGAAAUAACUUGUAACUAAUUGAUUUGAUAAUUUGUGACCGUUAAAUAAAAUAUGACCUAUAAAACUUUUGAUUUGUGACCGUGAAAUAAUUUGUGAUCAAGUGAUUCAAUAAUUUUGACCAAAUUGUAUAAAAUUGUGACCUUAAUAUAUUUAACUAAUAAAAUAUGUUUAUAGUUAAUUAUUUUAUAAAUGAAAUUUAAUUAAAAUCUUAUUUUUGAAAUUUUAAACCUUAUUUCUGAAUUUUGAAAUAUAAAAUUUUUCCUUUUCUAACGUAUCCCGAUUUAAUGUGCAUGUUACCCAUAAAUAUGAGCUACUCCUAUUUAAAUCAUUAUUUAAUGUACGGAUAUAUUAAAAAAAUUAUAUUUUCAACUAUAUUAAUUAUAUUUUCUUAAUCAUGUGAAAAUGGAAACAAACCAAACUUUAUUGGAUGGAUUGAGUAAUUAAUAUUAGACUUAGGGUUUGCUAAAUAUUUGUACACUAUAAAAGAAGUAUUUAAAUGUUUGACAAUGGGUAAUUCUCCAAAAAAUUUAAUUAAAUGUAGGUGAUUUUUUUUAAAUGGGCUAUUUUCCAGUUUUUAAAAGAAAAUAAGGCUUAUAGCAUAAUUAUCACUUAAGAAAACAUUCAAUCUAGACUUUUAAAAUUUUUUUAUUACAAGUGACAGACUAGUGCGAAAUUCGUAAAUGUGUAUUGACUUUUACAAAUUUGUGUAAAUUUCAUGAGAAUCUUUCAUUCACUUCUCAAAUUUUUCUUUCAAGGGCUUCUAUAAGCUUCGUUAGACUUUGAAAGACUAUUACUUUUGAGAGAGAGAGAGGCCUUGUACAUAAUGUUAUAUUAAUUAUUGCAUAUUCUUAUUUUAUUAAUUAUAUGUUGCAAUGUAAUACUAUUUUGAACCGCUACUAAUGUAACCAAAUUAUGGAAAAAUAAAAAUAAAAGAUCAUAUGCAACUAUAAACAUUGAGUAAACGACAGUAAUAUAUUUUUCAUCCGUAUCAACUCAAAGGAUAUUUACAAUGCUCGUUAGGGAGCUAUCAAGCCACACGUUACACUGAAAUUCGGAAUGAGAAUCCACAUUAGCUUCCCUUUGAAUUGAUCAUCGGAGGUCAUUAAGGAGCCUAUCAUUCUAGAUAUUCGCAAAAGAACUGGCUCUUCUUGAGCGUAUAAAGAUAAGUUAUGCACGGCCUCUACUGACUUCAUAAAAGAGAUUAUUAUUGAUCCCAAAGGCAACGCAAUGAUUGAGAUUAAUGACGUAUGAAAUAUGUAACAAGAUCACAAAUUUGAAACAAGAUUUAAAGUAAGGUAAUCAAAGAGAGUCAAGCACAGGAAACGAUAUUUUAUUAAAAUGACGACAUGGAGAGAAAAUUACAACACAAUAAUUUAAGCUUUAAUUAAACUAAAAGAAGGGCCAUUUAUAGGUAUAAACCAUACCAUAAAGAUAAAAAUAAUGUGAAAUAAUGGAAUAAUAUAUUUCCAAUAAAAUCAUGUGAAAAUAAAGAAACAAUAUUUUUCCACGAGAAAAUAAUAAAACAAUUUUCUUUUUCCUAAUUUGAAUCAUAAACCCAACAAUCUCCACAUUGAUGUAAAUUCCGAUGCAACGAAAGAAGUUAAAAAAAUUCCCCUACCUGAGAAAUAAGUCUGUCUGCAUUGAAAUAGCCAAACUUAACACAAUAACCAAAACUCCCCAUCACACACACACACGCAAAAAAAAUAAUAAUAAAUAAACAAAUAAAUAAAAAAUCUUCCUCUGCCCAACAUCCACAAGCGAUACUGAAACCCAACUUCCGAGUUCCCAAAAUUCCACAAAGGAAUUACUAUUGAGCAAACAGGGUUGAAGCACACACCGGUAGCAGAAAUCACACCAAAUGCCUGAUCACAAGGACUUUUAGUAGAACUGUCACCUUCAACGAUUCUGAAAGCGUUAUAGACAUCACUAACACCAUUGUAUCUACUCUCCAUGAAUCCAACCCUAGCAACUGAAUACAGUAUAUCUGUUAAAAUUGGUGGCAAAGUGGAAUCACCAAUGCUCCCCUAAGCAAUGUUCUGAGCCGACCCAAAGCCCGUCACAAGAGGUACUGUACUAAAUUGAACAUCCACAACGGUAUUGAACUUUUCCAAAUGUCUCUUAACUAGUUACGUGCUUCUCUACUAGAUGUACAAUUGUGACUUCUUCCAUCCCUCCAAUACAACCCGGACACCCCUUCGGAGUUUCAAGACUCUACCUUGGCCAGAAAAAUUAUACCCUAGGCUACUUAGCGAGAUGAGUUUCCUUUUCAAGUCUGAAAAAUGUCGAACUUGAUCAAUUAUUCAGACCGUCCCAUCCUGGAAACUUAAUCUAACUCGACCUAUUCCAACAACAGGGCAAGACUGGUUAUUUCCCAUCAAAACUCCACCUUGCUUGAUAGCUCUAUAUGUCUUAAAGAAAUUUCGAUUGGAAUACAUAUGAUACGAACAUGCCGAAUCAAGAAUCCACUCCUCAUCAGGUUUAGACUCCACAAUCAGAUACCACGGUCAACAUCACAGCACCGCCAUCUAAAAAAUCCUCAGUAACAUUAGUCUCGUCCGAAUUGCGUGAUUUCCCCUGUGAUUUGCAGCUAAAUUACCUUUUGCUUGCAACCUAUUACAAUCUUUCUUAACGUGUCCUUUCCUCCUACAGUAGAAGUAGUACAAAUUGCUGAAUUUUGUCCUCGAUUUACCCUUCCGUCGAUCACCAUAAAAUACUAGAGCUUCCUCAUCCCCCGAAGUAGCUCCAACAUCGUAGACAUCCUCAAUGGUCAAAGUAUCACGGCUGUAUAGGAUGGUGUCCCGAAAUGGCGAAUAAGAAGCGUGGCAGCAAACACAACAAGAUCAAAGUUAGGUCCUCCUCAUUUUACUUAACCUCCAAUGUCUCUAAAUCUGCAACUAUUUUCUUGACCACAACAAUGUGGUCUUCUAGUGGCCCUCCUUCCGCCAUGCAAUGGGAAUAUAGCUUUUGCUUUAGAGCCAGUUUGCUAGUGAGACUUUUAGUCAUGCAUAAUUGCUCCAGUUUCAGCCACAAAGCAGCCGUUGUUUUCUCCUUUAAGAUGUCCUAUAGAAUAUUAUUUGAUAAAUGAAGAUGAAUCUACGAUAAAGCAUUUUGCCCUCCGUUGUAUCUCCUCUAUUGUCCAAUUAGUUAGCAUCUUCUCAAAACCCAGCAAUGCAUCGUCCAAAUUAAACUGCGCCAAAAUAGCCUUCAUCUUUACUUGCUACAGAAAAAAUCUUGUAUUGCUAUCCGAUAGCGAUAUAUCAUAUUUCAAUGUAGCCCUCUCUAAAAAUCCCAACCAAAUCACAAAGAACAUACAGCCUAACUCUGAUACCACUUAUUAAUCCCAAAGACGACACAAGGAUUGGGAUUACUGACGGUGCAUGAAAUAUGUAACAAGAUCACAAAGAUGAAACAAGAUUAAUAAUAAUAAUAAUAAUAAUAAUAAUAAUGAUAAUAAUAAUAAUAAUAAUAAUAAUAAUAAUAAUAAUAAUAAUCAAAGAGAGUUAAGUAGAGAAAAUGAUGUUUUAUUAUAACGACGACAUGGAGAGAAAAAUUACAUCAUAGUAAUUUUGGCUUUAACUAAAUUGAAAGAAGAAGUCACUAUUUAUAGGUAUAUACCAUACCAUAAAAAUGAAAAUAAUGUGAAAUAAGGAAAUAAUAUAUUUCCAAUAAAAUCACGCGAAAAUAAGGAAACAAUUUUCUUUUUCCUAAUUUGGCACAUAAACCCAACAAUUAUUAGAUUGUGAACUCCAGCAAAUUUGAGACCCUCUAAAAUGGCAAUAUAAUCCUCAAAAAAUGGAGACAUAUUACCCAGAAUGAUUUUGACAUUGCAGCAUUUGAAUCACCUCUUUAUAGUUCCUUCAAAUGAUCAUUCACGCCAUAUAAACUGACCCUAGAUCCUUGUGGCAACGUCACCCUUUAAUUUAAGCUUAUUUUUCAGUGGUGGUAGCCACCUACGCAUUGAAACAUCUACCUGAGGUUGCGGGUCAGUACCGCGGUUAUCAAUUAUCAGUAAGCAAGAAAACCAGUCGUCCCUUUAAGAAUUCUAGCAGUCUCACUCUUAUGUUGGACUCCAUUAAAAAAAAUUUAAUUUUUCUGUACCAACAAUACCACAAUGUUCCAUCACAAGCUUUGAAAACACUACACUAGACUGUUGUCGAUUUGGCUAACAAUUUCAUUUUCCAAACCUCGACAAUCCUUUCACACUUGAUUAAGGAGCGUAGUACCCUCCACUCCCAUUUUUACAUAUCUCCAACUAUCUUCAGAUGAAGAAUUUGAUUUACUCGGCAUAUUUGCACACCAUAACAAACUUCACCAUCCUACUAAUGGGUUUGAGCAUGCCUGGGAAUUUCCUAUCUUUUAGUGACACUACGAGCCAAUUUCCUAAUUUAAUUGUGUAAUUACCUUUUUGUCAAAUACCAUAUUUGUAUACAAUCAUGCUACGCAUACAUUAUUUUUUACUUCAUUUUUGACGUUGUGCCAUUUGGCAACACACAAUUAGUCAGUUUCAAAAAAAUAAAAAAUAAAAAAUUCUCGUCCACAACUUUUUGAAAACCAAUGAAAUGUAAAGAAUGAUGUCAACUAAACAAUGUACACUUAGCAUUAUUCUAUUGGUAUCUCUAACACAUAGUACGAUAAGAAUGAGCUCCGUAUCAAUUGGUAAAGGGUGUGUCAGGAACCCAAUGACAGCUAAACACGGAUAAACAAUAUGACAGUGGAGAAAAUAAUUGUCACGUUGAAUUCAAGUCGAUGAGGUGUCCAGGUUUAUUAUAAUGCGCCAGCUUUGUUCGACAUUGAAGAGCAUCAAGUCCUUGAAAUGGAUUCCUCUCAUUACCCUCUUUUGUUCCCGACCAGAAAGUUGCAUCUGAUCUUCUCAAGUCAUUGAACAAAUUGACAACUGAAAAAUGGUCAUAGUAUAAAUUGAGAUCGACUGUGCUACAGCCUUUAUAAGAAUAUCUUUUCCUUAAAUGGAGAAAACUUAUGCCUCAAAAACUACAGUUUCUUCUAAACUCUUUCCCCAACUCCAUCAUAAACACUUUUUUUGCGCGCCCAGUUACCGAUGGUAGCCCCAGGUAAUUGCCCUGCAAUUGAACUUGUUCUAACUCAUUAUACUUUACCGACUGCUGGAUAACUAUGCUGUGUUAGGGCUGAAAGUCAUGGCUCAUUUCGUGAUAUUAACUCUCUGUCCCCACGAUGACUUGUAUGUGUCAAAACACUAGGUUAUCAUCAGGAACUUUGUUAUUUGUCUACUGAUUUUUGACACGUUGGUUGACACUUACAUUGUCGUCAAAUGUCAAUUGAAUGGAAAAAUUAUUUGAAAUUUAUACUGUUCAAUAUAAUAAUGCUAUAUGAUAAAGUGUAAACUAAAGUGUACACCAUAGUGUACAUAUAACAAAGUUCUAUCAUCAACGAGAAACAGGUGAUUAACUAAUGGUCCAUUCCGAGAACAACUGAACCCUUAUCUUUCAGCUCUUUGAAGAAGUCUCAAGAACCACUUUGUGCACAAAGAUAAUAGAUAUAGCAAUCUUGCUAGAGGAUUUUAACACCUUGGAUAACAAAAUGCUCAUGGCGUUACAUCAUUUGAUUGUUUUAGAAAUAGUCAACAUUGCCAUCCAAUCAUUUUUUUGCUACAACUUCAUCUGUCAACUAAUUUGUUAAAUUCCUCUGGCAAAAUAGCAUAAUUCUAGAUAUGGGGACAAUGGACACCGUUGUCCAAGUCCUCUCAAUGGAACCGAUUGUCCAUGGUGGUCACCAUUAAUAAGAAAGAGAACCUUAAUGUGGUUAAGCAUUUUAAAAUCAGUUGUUUCCAUCGACUCGAUAACCCGAGUUCUUCCAUCACAUAUAUGAUGAAAUCCCACGUGACUCUAUCACACACUAUACUCAUGUCUAGCUUCAUAGCCAUGUACCUAAUCCUUAUAUUUGUCCGUCUUUUAAGCGAGUGCAUGAGUUCAAAACCCAAGAUGAUAUUAUAAGAAAUUAGCCGUACCAGGAUGAAAGCAAUCUCAUAUGGUGAAAUGAUAUUUGAAUGCAGAAACAGUUAGCAACAAUUUUUGAGAUCACUUCGAAGAUGACGUUACAUUAACUUAUAGGCCUCUACUUAUUGGUGCUUCUAGGAAAUUUAACCCAUCAGAAUAAGCGUCAUUACAUCACCUACUUAUCGUUUGGAAAUUCUAAUGAUUGAUGAUGAUUAAGAACACCCAAAUAGGAAGUGAUCGUGUGAUGGCCCAUUUUAUACUAGUCAAAAGUCAAGCUUUUGUUCAAAGGCAAAGAUUCAACUUGUCAAAGUCAAAGUCAAAGUCAAAGUCAAAUGGAACUAAAAUUGAAUAAAUUAUUUUAUUGAGGCAUAUUUUAUAAUGAAAAAUAUUUCGAGGGUUUAAGAUGGAUAAAAUUUAUAAUUGGGGAUUUAUUUUCCUAUUUUUGUAAGUUAAUGAUUUAAUGUUAUAGUAUAUGAAAGUUGGAGGACUUAAUUUUAAAUGUUGGUAUUACUGGACUACAAUUGUCAUUUGUAUAACUCAUUUCCUCCAUUUUAUGUAUACACACAGAAAGCUGAGGAACUGAUAUAGAGGGUAGAAAACAGUGAAAAGAAAAGAGGAGAGAGGAGAAAGAAAAGCAGAAAGAAAUCAAUUGUGCGUGUUUCUUUUCUCGAAAAUCAAUUGUGGAAUUGGUAAUCUGGUGUUAUUAUAGAUAGGUGGCUUGGAUUUUCAACAAAAGUUUUGUUUGUCAUUAUCAUAUAAUCGAAGUUAAUGCUCCACCAAAUCUUAAUUUUAUUACGUGCAAUUCCUAUUUCUAAACAGUGGAGGUCCCAUGGAUCGCCGGUGGGAAAGAUCCAGUUUUUUGGGGAACUGAAGAGUGGCAAUUACAGAUUGAGCCCCCAAACUUUGUAAAAUGUACUGCUUAAAAUCCCUAUUUAAGCUUUCUCGGCAUUUGCGUCCUGACAUCAAGCCCAUGUUGGAUUUAGCUAAAAAAUAAAUAGAUUUUUAAUAAAAGUUAGUAAAAUUUAUUGAUCCCGUAAAAUAUGUUAUUGAAAAUAAGUUUAAAAAAACGAAUUAUAGAGUGUGUGGAUCAAACAAGUCUAAAUUUGGUAUACAAAUUCAUUCAUUUUUCUAUUAAAGUGAUAUUAUUUACACAAUCCUUUUACUGGAGGGAUUAUUACGGUAGGGAUGUUAAAUAUAUGAAAGUCCAGCUCAAGGUUGUAGCUAAAUCGAGUCAACUAGAUUGAACUUUAUGGCUAAAAAAAAACUGACCUGACACAGUCACACAGACCGCUAUAAUAGACAGACCAACUUGUGCAUAGGUCCAAUUUAAGUACCCGUAGCAUAGCCAUCCAUUUUGGCAAACACCAUAUUAUGGAAUAAAACAAUAUUAUCUAACAUUAGUCUAGGUGACCGUAAUUUUUAUGUUUAUUUAAAUGAGUUAUGUGGCUUUGCAAUUAAUAGAACCUAUUAUUUAAUACCAUGUAAUUGUUAUAUAAACUGGUGCUUAACACCAAUGCAUAUGAAUUGCAUUACUCUAUAGUAUAACAUCUUCAUUUCACUCCAAAAAAAAAAAAAAAAAAAAAAAAAAAAAAAAAAAAAAAAAAAAAAAAAAAAAAAAGGUAAGAAAAUACAAAGAAAAGAAAAUAAAUCAGGAUGUUGCUUAAAUAAAAUGAUUGAGCUCCAAAUUGGUGUUUUGCUUGAGAUUCGAGAUCUCAAUAACAAUAUUCACUUUCAUUAAUAAUGUUAUCCUUUAAAAAUAUGAUUGAUGAAUUACAUUUUUUUAUUGGUUAAUACUAGUAGUCAGUCAUCACCAUUGGUUGGGAAUUACAAUAAAAUUAUGUGGUUUCUAAAAUAUCCUAUACUUCUUUAGCAAUCUCACACACUUUCCUAAAUUCUUUGGGGGAAAUAGUCAUAAAAAAGGCAUGCAAGGCUUUACUAUUCUAAUUGCAUCUAUCCAAUUCAACCUUAGACCAAUUCUCUAUGGGGGUGAAAGUGACAACACCAUCUACUAUGUACUUAGAGAUAAACCAACCAUUCACAAACACUCAACCAAAUCCGCUCAUCCACAGAUUUCAAAAAUGUUCUCAUUCUCACUUUUCAAUAAGCAUAAUUAUUCCCGUCAAAAUGGGGUGGCACACUCAACGAAGUACUCAUCUAGACUAUGUAAGGUCAGGACACAAACUCAGGCUCUGAUACCACUUCAAAGAAAUCUGAAACGUUCUAAUACCACUUCAACUUUUAGAUUUAUGGAGUUUACAUUCUAGAUUACCAAUUUAUUUCGACCUUACGUGCGAAAUUAUACUAACCAAAGCAACACGUCGCUUUAAUUAAUUUCUAGAUGGUUAAACAUACAAUUCAAUUUAAUCUAAAGUUUAAGUGCUGCAAUUAUAAUAUUGUAGAAAGUAAUAAAUAACACAAGAUAUGAUGAUGAAGAAAUCCCAAUGUGGGUAAAACUCUAGGACCAAACUAGUUACCUUCACUAUAGACAAUUCAGAUAAUACAAUAACAAGCCUAUCCUUGGACCCGUUAAGAUCAAUGUAGUUGUAUGUAAACCCAGAGCAAUAGCAUGAUGAACCAAAAAGUAUCCAGGACCUAUUGUCAAGAGUAAUGAAUUACUGUUUUCAUUAACAGCAUUUAGAUUUGAACCCAUGACCUCAAGGUUAUAAGCCUUGCUAGCUACCAAACUGCUCUACCCCGCACUGAAGAGAAGAAGUGAAAACUAAUAGACAAACAAGAAUUGAAUGUGCCUCUCUACCGCUGCCGCAGCCUUAUGAUCUACUUCCAUAGACACAUCUAGCACUAGAACUUCUGACCUACCUCCUGCAACCUCCUACUGUCGUAGAUUCUUCUAGCCUCCUGUUAAACCUCCAAGUCUACCUCCUGAAGCCUAAUCUGCUGUCUCCUACAGUCUCUUAGUCUGUACUGAAUGUCUCUCCAAAAUGGACCACCAAGAACUGCCUAUUAUUGUGCUUGUAGUUGCGCUUCAAUCCACCUCUCUCAAUCCCCCAAUGAGAGAGUUCCUUCCUCAAAAGAUUAAGAAAGACGGGUGUCUUGGAUUAUCGGACCUUUGAUGUUUUCCCCAAUAUGUGGUUGUUGGAUCUCAAGAAUAAAUAAAAUGAAUCAAUGCUUGGACAUGCUCUUGGAUCUUCAAAAAGAUGAUAUGAAUAUGUUUACUAAGAGAGACACAAUGAACAACCACUCAAAAUUUGUGCUAGGGCUUAGGUAUUUAUAUUUGAAGAUGUUUUGGUGGUAUGUGCUGAGUAAAACACUUAAAAACUCGAACUAAGGGUUUUGCCACAUAAGAAUGUCGUUGGAGCAAAGAUAUAGAGAGCAUUGAUCGAGAGCCAUUCUAUUUUUUCGUUCGAGCGAAAAGCCAAUGAGAAUCAAACGACAGCUAAACAGUCAUCAAUAUUUUCACCAUAACUUUAUCCCUCCGAUGUCUGAUUGAGGUGAUUCAACUUGCGUUGGAAAGAUAACUUAAAGGGAUACAAUUAUUUAGAACUUUGUCCAAAUUCUAAUGUUUUCUUUGUUAAAAAUGUAUUGCAAGUAACAACUGAGAAUUUGGAACAUAACUUGUACGUCUCUUUGAUAUCCUUUAGAUUUUUAAUUGCAUUCCGAUGGUCAUAUGUGAUAUUCUUGGACAUCUUGGACUCCUUCAAUGACUCGAACACUAAUUUACCUCAUCUAUUAAAAAUUGAAACUAAGUCAUUGACUUUUACAAGUGAUCAAUUUAGUCCCAUUUGUUCACAGAAUUGUCAAUUACAAUAUUGGUCCUAACAGUAGUCUAUUGAUAUUAUAUUUCGUAUUUGUAUAAUGUUGAUAUCAUAUUUUGAUUUUGCUAGCUCAAUAUAUUUUUCAGUUUAUUGAUAUAAUAUUUUGAUAGAUUCUAUCUUGAUUGUUGCAUGUAAAAUUUUAUCAAUUUUCAUGUACUUUUGUACUUGGUAUUGUUUGAGUUGAUUUAUUUCAUGAUACAUGCAUGACAAAACAAUUGAGACGCAAUUCUACUUUCGAGUAAUUGAGUUGAUAUGCAUUAGGUUGUGUUCAUUAUUUAAUUAUGACAUAAACGAAUUUGUCACGGAAAGUCAACGGGAGAGUUUUUUAGGUCUACAGUGUGUUAGCAAAAAUUUGUGUCCAAAAUGUCAUUUUAUCGAGUUGUAUUUAGGGUUAAAUAGUCAAGUGUUAGGAGUAUCUUUGAAAAGGAUCAAAAUCAACUCAAUAAGACUAAGUCAUGGCAAAAAAUGCUCGAAAUUGCCAAGUGAGCUGCUCAAGUAGUUUUAGCCGGAGUUGACCUCUUGCUUGACGUCCAAGGGUGAUCAAGAGGGUUGUGUCAUUCGGGCAAAACCUAGUUCGCGAUUUUUACCCUUAUAACUAUCUAAUACUAUAUAUACCGAGUCAAAUUUCGUCCCAAAAGAGUGUUGAGCCAUUAUUCAUUAAAGAGAACAUCCCGUUGUAAAUCAAACAUUGAUUCUAUAUUUCUCUUGCAUUGACCAAAAGAUCAAACCAACGAAACACCAAAAGAUCAAAAAGACCAAUAAACCUCUAACAAAUAUCUUUUAGAGUUUUAUAGAUCUAGAGAAGUGACUGGGGUUAUGGUUUGUGAAGAACGAGUUCGUUCUUAGUGAUACACUUGAAGAAAAGAAUUUCAGAGGUUCUAAAGCUAGUGCUGGAGAACACAAUCGAGGAGUUCUUUGGUAAUUACAUAUUGGGGUCAAAGUGUACUAAGGUUUAGUUGUGUUUGAAACAGUAUUGUAAGUUCAAAUUUUCAAUUAAAUUAUUUCUCUUGAAGAAUUCUUCAAAAUUUUUCCUUCGUAAAUCAUUGUUUGCGUUCUUUAAUUUACAGCUUUGAUAUUUAUGCUUGAUUGAUUGCUAGGGUUUAAAUUGAUAUUAAUUCAUCUAGGACUAAUAAUUGUAACUUGUCGUAAGUUAUUAUUGGUUAAUUUUUAAUUCCGCAUAUUAUACCUAAUCACCUGUCUAGGUGUUUGUUGAGUCAAACCUAGUUUAUUGCAGUUGUCAUUUCAAUAAGAAUAAUCUGUACAAGGAAUUGAAGCUCAAUCCCUAAAUGUUAUAUGAAAAAGAAAAAAAAAAAAAAAAAAAAAAAAAAACUGCAGGUACAGGUCCCCUGUUGGAAUCUGUUGCAAUUUCCUGUACGUGUAGUGCAUCUCAUGUUAUAUGCCCAUAUACUAUCUCAUACUUCAUUGAUAUAUGGGAUUUUCUUCACACUUUCCCAAUAAUUCGAACUACCCACCUGCCGACUUCAUUUGCUCCAUAGAAUUAGUCCUAUCUAGAAAUUGUGUUAGCAUGCAUCAUGUCUGAGUAGACACUCUGGACCAAAAUUUCGUUCAGGAUGGUUUAGCAAUUUAUACUGGUAAUUUCGAUUUUAUUCUAGUUUUAUAUAUAAAUAGGAACCAUCAUUAUAGUUUUGUAAAUAUCAUUAACAGAAAGAUAUUGGAGAAAAAUAGGGUAUGCGAUCUUUCUCUUGCACACUACUUUUCAUUAAAGUAAAUUAUUGGCAGAAGAGGAUGUAAUCUCAGAUUGACGCGAGCCUCUAUAAAUUUUUUGUGUUCUUAUGUUUCCAUUUUCUUUCUACAAUUUUAUUUCUCUCGAUGAUAUAGAAUUAAAAUUUAUAAUUAUCUAUUAUAGCAACUUUUUAUCAGUUGUUUUUAGCUAGAGAAAAUCAGAUAACUGAUGUGUGGUCAAGACUUACUCUUUUUUUUUUUUUUUUUUUGGGUCAAGAUUUCUAGGCCUACAUAGCUUAGUCUUCAAAUUAAAAACGUGCACACAAUUGAGCUUUGUCUUUUUGGAUAAUGGGAAGCAAAUAAAAUUUCAUUUUGCAGUGUUUGUGUUGCACAAUGGUACUGGUGGUUCAGCUACGUACCUAAAUGCUUCAAUUUACUUUGUGGGAUAUUGAAGAAAAAAAUAUGCACAUUGCACUAAGGUAUAAAUUGUGUCCUGCACAUUAAAAUGUUUUAAGCGCUUUAAUAUGCUUGGGCAAGAAAUAUUUUCUCAUAAAGAACAAGAAAAAGACUACGAGAAGAGUUAAAUAAGUUGUAGCAGAAAAUGACCAACGUUUUAUUAUGGAUGGUUUAGAAAUUUACACUUGUAAUUUAGAUUUUAUUCUAAUUGUAUUUAUAAAUGGGGAACCAUCAUUGGAGUUUUGUAAUCAUCAUCAAAAGAAAUAUAUUAGAGAAAAUAGGGUAUGUGAUUUUUCUCUUAUACAUUUCUUUUCAUUAAAUUGAAUCAUCGGUAGAAGAGGAUGUAGUCUCACAUUGAGACAAGCCUCUAUAAAUUUUACGUGUUUUUGUGUGUCUAUUUUCAUUCUAAAAUUUUAUUUCCCUCGGUGAUAUAGAAUUAAAAUUUAUAAUUAUCAAUUAUUGUUUUUACCUAGCAAAAAGCAGAUAACUGAUGUGUGGUCAAGACUUUCUAGGCCUACAUAUCUUAGUCUUCAAAUUAAAAACGUGCACACAAUUGAGCUUUUUCAUUUUGCGGUGUUUGUGUCGCACAAUGGUACCGGUGGUCCAUCUACCUAAAUGCUUCAACUUACCUGUGGGAUACUGAAGAAAAAAAUAUGCACAUUGCACUAAAAUAUAAUUUUUGUCGUGCAUAUUAAAAUGUUUUAAGCUUUAAAACACAUGUGCAGGAAAUAUUUUUUCAUAAAGAACAAGAAAAAGACUACGAGAAGAGGUAAAUAAGUUGUUGCAGGAAAUGUUAGACCAAAUAAGCACUAUGAUUAAUUUCCCUAACUAUAAACCAAAUUAUCACUGACUUCGCUAUGAUAUUUAUGGUAUCCUCAAUGAAUUUUUACUUUUCUCAAAUGCAGUUACAAAAUAAAACCAUGUAUUCUUUUGUGUAGUUCAUUUUUUUUGUAUUGAUAUCGCUAGUAUAACUAUAUAUUUCUACUUAAAUUUUUCUCGAAUUAGUACAAAGUUUGUUGUGUCUUUAAAUAAAAAUGUAGUUGAAGUAGCAUUAAUAUGUUUAGCACUUUCAAAACCUUCUUUUCUUUUCUCGUUGUAUUGUUCCGGAGGUAAGGCAAACACGCCUCCAACCCCUCUUGUACUUGACUUGUUUAUUUAUGAGAAGACACGGUCAAAGAAUCGAAAUUCCCAUUGGAUCUAUGUGGAGGCCUAGAAAUACUGUCUAGGCAUUAAUAGUACUUUGAUUCAGCAAUAAAAUAAAUGGGUAACGACAACAAUUGAACUCAGCAACCUUUGAUAUUAUGUUGAACUAUCAUAUUUAAAAGCUUAAGUUAUUCAAAAUUAAUCUCAUUUAUUUAACUAAAUUAAACCUCCGAUUGGCCACCAUUCUCAUUCUCAUUCUUUUUCUCUCUCUUAUUUUUAACCACACAAUCUUCCAUAAAAUAAUUUUACACGCAAAUAAAAAAAAUUUCAUUAUUUUUCAACCACACAUUUAAAAAAAAAAAUAUUAUUUCAACCAUUAAAACUUGGAAAGAAUGCGCCAAACGGGGGCUAAGUUUUCAACAACAUUUUAGCUUGUUUGAUCUCCAUUUUUUUCGAAAUAUAUAUUUUCUCUUUUCUUUUCAACCACUCAUUUUUCAAUAAAAUAAUAUUACACGCAACCCAAAAACUUUUCCUUCAAUUUAACCACACAUUCUCCAUCAAUUUACUAUUUCAAAAUACAUUCUACACUAAAAAUGGGGCUCGAAUAUAAUGUCAAGACUUUAGAAGUGUUAUCGAGGUCCUAUUUGAGCCGCAUUCUUUUAAAAAAUAUAUUCUUAAACAGUAAUUAAACAUUAUUUCAUCCACACAUUAUUCAAUAAAAUAAUAUUAUACGCAAAUUCAAAAUUUUUUCUCAUUUUUUAACCACAUUUUUCAUUAAUCUACUAUUUCAAAAUAUAUUCUUUCAAAAUAAUGUGCUUCAAACACACUGAUUAUACCUCAUCCCCAAAUUUCAAGACUAAAAAUAAGCAAAGCUUACACAAGUUUCAAUAAGAGACUCAUGUCCACCUGUCAUUACACUUAAAUGUUACUAAGGGAAAGAGUAAUUCCCCGCCCCACCCUCAAUAAAUCCUUCUGAUAGAAGGGAUAUUAGAGAAAACUAAUAUAGGUAUGAAUACCCCAUAUGUAACGAUCUAGGCCUCGUGCCCAAUUCGUUGUAUUAUACAUAUUAUCCGCUCUCUUACUUAAUUUGAAAUGUUAAGGGUUCGAAUCAUGGUACACGAUAGAAUUUCUAAAGGGUAAGAUGAGUUUAGAAUUUUUCAAAUUGAUCAGUAUGUAUGAUAUAACGACUUGGACACGAAGCCUGGGUCAUUAAAAUGCGUGUUUUUUUUUUUGUAUUUUUUUUUGUUUUUUGUAAUGACUCAGUUCCUGUACUCAUACCUUGCUGUUAACUUACGUACUGUUCAUUUUGGAAGAGUUUGAGUCCAUCUUACCCUUCACAAAUUUCUAUGGCAUCCUCAUGAUUUAAACCCUUUACUUUUUCAUAAGAAUGACUUACGUACUGUUCAUUCUGGAAGAGUUAAAUUCAGAUACUAAAUAGAAAAGUGUGCUUAAGUACGAAAUGCAAAUUCUAGAAAUUGUAUUCUUGGCAGCCGAAUAAUUUGGAUGUGGGAUCCAGCUAGAAUGCGAUCGCAAGCUUCAUCAUGCAAAUUUGCUUUUUAUAUUUAAAUCAUAAGACAUUUGAUCUUCAUCAUUUUCGAAAAUAGCAAGCAAAUAAUUUUUUGUCGUACAGACAAUGAUGUAUAGCCGUGUAUGUUUUUCAAGUGGAACUAUUGGUCCAAUCCGACUAAAUGCUAAAAUUUAGUGUGAGUGAUUUUCAAAUUUUUUUGACAUUGCACUAAAAUAUAUACAUUCACAAUUGAUAUAUCCAAUUCCCAAUGAACAUGUUAUAUUUGCUGUCAAAAAUAUUUUUCACUAUAUGCAAAUGGGAAAAAAAUAAAUAAAUAAAAUAAAAUAAAAAAUUGGAAAUUACUUUCUGUAUAUUUUGAAGAAGUUAAAUGGGUGUAUCUGGGAUACGGCUGGAAUCCGACACUGAAGGAGUAAAUUAGAAGGGUUCUAGCAGUUCUAUGUUGUAUUUUUCAUUUAUUAACGGUUAAAAAAAAAUAAAAUUAGUUCAACAUUCCUUUGGCAUUUUAUACAAAUGGAUUUAUAAAUUUUCAAUAUUUCAAAGUAAUGAAAACGUGGUCUAAAUUAUCUUGGCCUACGUACUCCUGAUAUCCUAGUAUUACAAAUACCCUUCAAAGGAACUUGUAAAUUCAAACAAGACCAUUGAAGUGAGAAGCAUUUCUUCGAUUUACUGUCCAAAUUUCAAGAGUGAAAUACAGAAAUGGACAUCCAAAUCCAUGCAUCUGCUGCCCCAUUUUUCACCAAAAAUAUGAUCAUUCAGGGAUACUCAUCGCUCUGUCACGUAUCAUCCUAUCAUUUGGAGAGAUUAUUUCCUUGCGUAUACUUCUUGUAAAUGUUAUGCCCUAAAUCCAAUCGAUUUAAGUUGUAAACACUUUUAAUAUGCUUAAUGCAUUAAUUUUUGACAAGAUCUAUUAUUAUUUAAAUUAAUAUUCUGAUGAAUAAUGUUAAAUAAUAGAAUCUAAAGAUUCAAGUUUAAGUAAUUUGUUAAUCACAAAGAGUUGUGAUUGUUAAAUGUAAAUUACAUAUGAUUGGAUUUUUAAUUAUCCAUGGCCAUAAGUAAUAACAAGAUAUGAAUAUUGUUUUUACAUAUAGACCAUCACGUGUGACAUUUCUUACUUGUGAAGUAAAUAGCUGAUCUCACAAUCUAAAAUGUGGAGACACUUAAAUGAACGCGUGGAUGUUUUGUUAUAGAACAAAACAUUGGAGACCCGCUAAAAGAUUCUACAUAGAUAACUAUUUGAGUUUCAGUGGUAAUCUCUAACGAUCGAUAGUGAAAUUGGUCCUUUGACUUGAGGUCAUCAUAGUGCCUUGUAUCACAACAGUCAUACUCGCGGUGUUGGAUGUUUCUCUACCAAGGGCCGCUAAUACGACAUAGUUCGGGUAUGUUAAGAAUUAUAUGAAGGUUAUAAAUGACCAAUAGAUGAUUUGUCAUUUUUAGAUAGUAAGAUAUUAUGAUCUGCAUUUCAUUCAAUUAAGUCGAUAACGAAAUCCUUGGCCAAUAUAUACUCAAAAAUUGAAAAAGAGUUUUCGACCUAUAUAGACUUAGUAGUGGAAUAAAAGAUAUGAUCGAUGAUUGAAAUCGACACACUUCCAUAUCUCGUAGUUGAUUGGAUCAUAUUGACGAUGGGAUUAUAGUUUCACGAUAAACAAACAAGUUUGGUAUUGUUAUACCACGUGACAUUUUCCGUCACAUGUAUUAUCCUAACACAUUGCUAGAUAUCAAUUUGAGACGGCGAGUGUGAACUAGUGAUAAAUUAAAAGGGUAUUUUAAUUUAUCUAUUUUGGUUAGAUCAAAAUAAUAUUUCACGUCGUUAGGCAUCAUGAUCGGGAACCUAACGGAUCACACACAAAAAGGGAAUUGGAAUAUUGUAAUUUGUCAAUUAAUUAAUUUAACAAUCAUUAGAUAAAUUAAUUAAUUGGGUUGGUUAUUUAUAGGCCCGAAUUAAUUAAAUUAAUUAAUUCAUAGACCAGAAUUAAUUAAAUAAAUUAACUAAAUAUUGGAUCGGGUCAGGUCAAGCCCGUUUGGGUUUAUAUAAAUACAUGGCUAGGAUUUUUAAUUUGUAGAGAUUCUCAUAAUUCUUUGCUAGCACAAGAGAAGAAAACCUCGAUGACUACAAUAUGUUCUCUGUGUAGAAUUCCAUUGGAGGCUGGAUAGGACAGCUGUUAGGUUGCUAGGCAGCGCCGAAGUGAAUAAAAGAAAAAAAAUUAGGGUUUGGGGAGAGUUGAAGUGGGAGGCCUUUCAUGCAAUUUAUGAAAUUGCAGGUCCCCACAUGUAAAUUGUUUUGGGGAGUUGUCCUGCAAAUUUUAAAUAAAGGACUUGUCACGUAAAUUGCAUAGUUGAGGGGCCUGUUUUUAAUUCUGACUUGGGUCAAAUUGCAAUUGUUAAAAUGGGUUUUAAAUUUGAAUUCUAAAUGGGUUUUUAAAUUAUAAUUUUAAUUGAGUUUGACACAUAUUUGUAUUUGGGCCCAAAAUUAAUAAUUUAUUUAAAAUUGACAACUUUUAUAUUUUUGUUAAAAUUAGAUUUUAACUUAAAUAUUUAAUUUUAACCCUAAAUUGAAUUUUUUUUUAUUUAGGAGUUUUGUCCUAAAUUAAAAUAUUAAUUCAAUUUAAUUAGAAUUUGGACUCUAAUCUUAUGUUAAUUAAAAUUUGAUUUUAAUUAAUAUUACUUCCCCCACACAAAUAUUGAAAUUAGAGUAGGACUCUAACUUAAUAAUUACUUAAAAUUUGAUUUUAAUUAAAUUAUCACACCCUAAGCAAGCAAAUAAUUUUUUGUCGUACAGACAAUGAUGUAUAGCCGUGUAUGUUUUUCAAGUGGAACUAUUGGUCCAAUCCGACUAAAUGCUAAAAUUUAGUGUGAGUGAUUUUCAAAUUUUUUUGACAUUGCACUAAAAUAUAUACAUUCACAAUUGAUAUAUCCAAUUCCCAAUGAACAUGUUAUAUUUGCUGUCAAAAAUAUUUUUCACUAUAUGCAAAUGGGAAAAAAAUAAAUAAAUAAAAUAAAAUAAAAAAUUGGAAAUUACUUUCUGUAUAUUUUGAAGAAGUUAAAUGGGUGUAUCUGGGAUGCGGCUGGAAUCCGACACUGAAGGAGUAAAUUAGAAGGGUUCUAGCAGUUCUAUGUUGUAUUUUUCAUUUAUUAACGGUUAAAAAAAAAUAAAAUUAGUUCAACAUUCCUUUGGCAUUUUAUACAAAUGGAUUUAUAAAUUUUCAAUAUUUCAAAGUAAUGAAAACGUGGUCUAAAUUAUCUUGGCCUACGUACUCCUGAUAUCCUAGUAUUACAAAUACCCUUCAAAGGAACUUGUAAAUUCAAACAAGACCAUUGAAGUGAGAAGCAUUUCUUCGAUUUACUGUCCAAAUUUCAAGAGUGAAAUACAGAAAUGGACAUCCAAAUCCAUGCAUCUGCUGCCCCAUUUUUCACCAAAAAUAUGAUCAUUCAGGGAUACUCAUCGCUCUGUCACGUAUCAUCCUAUCAUUUGGAGAGAUUAUUUCCUUGCGUAUACUUCUUGUAAAUGUUAUGCCCUAAAUCCAAUCGAUUUAAGUUGUAAACACUUUUAAUAUGCUUAAUGCAUUAAUUUUUGACAAGAUCUAUUAUUAUUUAAAUUAAUAUUCUGAUGAAUAAUGUUAAAUAAUAGAAUCUAAAGAUUCAAGUUUAAGUAAUUUGUUAAUCACAAAGAGUUGUGAUUGUUAAAUGUAAAUUACAUAUGAUUGGAUUUUUAAUUAUCCAUGGCCAUAAGUAAUAACAAGAUAUGAAUAUUGUUUUUACAUAUAGACCAUCACGUGUGACAUUUCUUACUUGUGAAGUAAAUAGCUGAUCUCACAAUCUAAAAUGUGGAGACACUUAAAUGAACGCGUGGAUGUUUUGUUAUAGAACAAAACAUUGGAGACCCGCUAAAAGAUUCUACAUAGAUAACUAUUUGAGUUUCAGUGGUAAUCUCUAACGAUCGAUAGUGAAAUUGGUCCUUUGACUUGAGGUCAUCAUAGUGCCUUGUAUCACAACAGUCAUACUCGCGGUGUUGGAUGUUUCUCUACCAAGGGCCGCUAAUACGACAUAGUUCGGGUAUGUUAAGAAUUAUAUGAAGGUUAUAAAUGACCAAUAGAUGAUUUGUCAUUUUUAGAUAGUAAGAUAUUAUGAUCUGCAUUUCAUUCAAUUAAGUCGAUAACGAAAUCCUUGGCCAAUAUAUACUCAAAAAUUGAAAAAGAGUUUUCGACCUAUAUAGACUUAGUAGUGGAAUAAAAGAUAUGAUCGAUGAUUGAAAUCGACACACUUCCAUAUCUCGUAGUUGAUUGGAUCAUAUUGACGAUGGGAUUAUAGUUUCACGAUAAACAAACAAGUUUGGUAUUGUUAUACCACGUGACAUUUUCCGUCACAUGUAUUAUCCUAACACAUUGCUAGAUAUCAAUUUGAGACGGCGAGUGUGAACUAGUGAUAAAUUAAAAGGGUAUUUUAAUUUAUCUAUUUUGGUUAGAUCAAAAUAAUAUUUCACGUCGUUAGGCAUCAUGAUCGGGAACCUAACGGAUCACACACAAAAAGGGAAUUGGAAUAUUGUAAUUUGUCAAUUAAUUAAUUUAACAAUCAUUAGAUAAAUUAAUUAAUUGGGUUGGUUAUUUAUAGGCCCGAAUUAAUUAAAUUAAUUAAUUCAUAGACCAGAAUUAAUUAAAUAAAUUAACUAAAUAUUGGAUCGGGUCAGGUCAAGCCCGUUUGGGUUUAUAUAAAUACAUGGCUAGGAUUUUUAAUUUGUAGAGAUUCUCAUAAUUCUUUGCUAGCACAAGAGAAGAAAACCUCGAUGGCUACAAUAUGUUCUCUGUGUAGAAUUCCAUUGGAGGCUGGAUAGGACAGCUGUUAGGUUGCUAGGCAGCGCCGAAGUGAAUAAAAGAAAAAAAAUUAGGGUUUGGGGAGAGUUGAAGUGGGAGGCCUUUCAUGCAAUUUAUGAAAUUGCAGGUCCCCACAUGUAAAUUGUUUUGGGGAGUUGUCCUGCAAAUUUUAAAUAAAGGACUUGUCACGUAAAUUGCAUAGUUGAGGGGCCUGUUUUUAAUUCUGACUUGGGUCAAAUUGCAAUUGUUAAAAUGUGUUUUAAAUUUGAAUUCUAAAUGGGUUUUUAAAUUAUAAUUUUAAUUGAGUUUGACACAUAUUUGUAUUUGGGCCCAAAAUUAAUAAUUUAUUUAAAAUUGACAACUUUUAUAUUUUUGUUAAAAUUAGAUUUUAACUUAAAUAUUUAAUUUUAACCCUAAAUUGAAUUUUUUUUUAUUUAGGAGUUUUGUCCUAAAUUAAAAUAUUAAUUCAAUUUAAUUAGAAUUUGGACUCUAAUCUUAUGUUAAUUAAAAUUUGAUUUUAAUUAAUAUUACUUCCCCCACACAAAUAUUGAAAUUAGAGUAGGACUCUAACUUAAUAAUUACUUAAAAUUUGAUUUUAAUUAAAUUAUCACACCCUAAUUUUUUAUAGAAUUAGAGUUGGACUCUAAUCAAGAAUUUAAUUAAAAUUUGAUUUUAAUUAAAUAACUUCCCCCUAUGAUCAUGGAAUUAGAGUUGGACUCUAAUCCGAAAUUUAAUUAAAAUUUGAUUUUAAUUAAAUAGGCCCGCCAAUUAAGUUAAUUAGUUAAUAUGAUUAAUUAAUUAUUUAAUUAUUUCGAUCCAUUUAUUUAAAUGAGUUUUGACGACUAUAAUUGCUAGAUUCCUGAGACAUUGCAUAUAAUAUUAGAUAUUAUAUAGGAAACAUUUAUGUGAUGAAUGUCUAUUUAUAGAUGAUUAUGGACUCGACCAUGUGGAUGUGUUAAAUGAUUGAUUUAGUUCUUGUCGUUUUACGGGUCUACGAGCUCUUAAUUGUUUUGAACUUGCGAGUCCGUUAAUAUUAUUGUUGUUAUGGGGCUUGCGAGCUCAAUAUUAUUUUUGGACUUGCAAGUUCGUUGUUGUUGUUAUUAUUAUGGUCAUGCGAGUCCAAUUUCAUUUAGGUCUGCAUGCCAACUAGUAUAGGAUACAUGUUGCAGCUAGACUAAUUGAAGGAGCAAGAAAAUGAGAAAAUCAUGUAGAUGGUGCAUUGAUAUUAAUUCGAUGAUAUACCUCCUAGGAAUUGACCAAUUAGUUUUCCUCUUGGCUCAGGAAAAUUAGAUAAAAUAAGUACAUAAUCAUCCAUACUAUUAUUUGUAUAUUUAUUUGCAUAGUUGAUGCAUGAUUAUAUGUAUGAGACCACUGCAUGUUAAAUCCCUCGUUAAAAUAUUAAGUUGGUAUUAUUUGCCUUCCGUCAUUAUAGUAAAAAACGAGAAUCCUAAAUCGAUCUCAGCUUGUUGAGUACACUCAAGUUUGAUCUAUUAUGGAUAUGUUUGAAACUAUGAAAUAUUUGAUAUUUCUGAAUGAUUGACUUAACUAAAAUUUAUCUUUUUUUGAGUACACUCGUUUUAGAGGCAUGUUAAACUAACAUAUUAGUUGUGUGAAGACAAGGAGUUGUCGGUUUAAUGAUUGGGGAGUUGUAUGGAAAUACAAUUAAUAAUAGUAUCUAUCCAAAUGUUUUAUUAAGAUUUGUUGAGUACACUUAAAAUCUUGACGUAAUAGAUGGGAUCCUAGCCUACUGGGAAUCAAAUGAUGAAUUCAUUUUAAACAUUGGGAGCACGUUUAAUAAAAUUCCAUAUUAAAUUUGUUCAAUGCAUUACAAUAUAUAUUAAUUCUUUAUUUUUCGUCAUUAACAGUUUUCGAAUCAUGAGUAAUCAUAUGAAUUUGAGAGGCAUACUAGAUGCCAACAAACUGACCAUACCAAAUUUUUUUGAUUGGCACUGCAAUUUGAGAAUCAUUCUCAAGUAUGAGAAAAUUGGGUAUGUCCUUGAGCAGCUCCUUCUAGAGUUAUCUACUGAAAACUCCAUUAAGAAAGACGUGCUCCUGAAUUUUGCAAAAUUAGACUUCAACAUAGUGCAGAAGAUCCACCAGAAAGAGUUCAGUGACAUUACAAGGUUAGUUUGUUAUGUGAAGCUUCACUCGGUAUAUUAGUAAAAUUUAUUUACUUUCAGAUGUGAAUUGCAGGUGGUGGAAGGCUUUAGAGUUUGGAAAAAAAUUGCCUUUUGCAAGAGAUAGGCUGGUGGAAUGCUACUUUUGGAUAUUAUGUGUCUACUAUGAGCCCCAAUACUCUCUAGCAAGGAAAAUUCUGACCAAAGUGAUGGCCAUGACUUCUAUUAUUGAUGACACCUAUGAUGUUUAUGGGACCCUAGAUUAACUUAAACUUUUCACAGAUGCAAUUGAAAUGUGAGUUUUGAGUUAUUCUUUGUGUCUUAAUAUCUAAUAACAUAUUUAUUCAUAGUGAAAUAUAUAAUUCAAAUAAAUUCCGAUUUGAUAUUGAAUAUUUUUGUGAGCAGGUGGGAUUUUAGUGCCGUAGAUCAGUAACCAUCGUACAUGAAAUACUUUUACAAAUCUCUUCUAGAUGUUUAUCUUGAAGCUGAGAAAGAGUUAGGAAAGAUAGGAAAAUCGUAUCGUGUUCUCUACUCAAUUGAUGAGGUAAUCAAUAUUAAUAAAGUUGCUAGAAUUUAAGGACAAUUACAUCCAAUUAAUAGUAUCUAAUCACAAUUUCAAUUUAUAGAUGAAAAAAUUAGUCCGUGCAUAUUUCGAAGAGGCAAAAUGGACUUACAACAGAUAUACUCCAACACUUGAAGAGUAUAUGAGAGUCGCACUAGAAUCUAGGGGUCGCGUGAUGCUAUCUACAACAGCUUUGGUAGGUAUAGGAGAACUGGUAACUAAGGAAGCCUUUGAUUGGAUUUCAAGUGAACCAUUAUCAGUUCAUGCUUCAUCAAUAAUUUGGAGACUAAUGGACGAUAUGGUAAGUCAUGGGGUAAGAAGUUUGAAUUCUUAUAAAUUGAUUUUCUUUAAAUUACACAAGUUUAUUAGAUGGGGUUUUUUUUUUCUUAUGCCCGUCAACAUAUGAGAAAAAUGAAUAGCCUGCUUAGCAUUAGAUUUACAAGUUUUGGGUUGUGUUACUUUUAUGCAGUUUGAGCAAAAAAUAACGGCUGUUGAAUGUUACAUAAAAGAGAAAGGGGCUUCAAAAGAAGAUGCAUUUGCUGUAUUUCAAAUGCAAGUCAUGAACGCGUGGAAGGAUAUAAACCAAGAAUGCCUUAAUUCAGAUGCAGUACCAAUGGCUGUUCUUGUACAAGUAGUACAUCUUACACGUGUCAUCAAUCUUCUAUACAAAGACAGUGAUGGAUACACAAAUUCUAAAACAAAGUUCAAAGAUUUCAUAACGUCGAUACUCAUUCAACCAGCAACAAUGUCCAACUGAACAUAGUUGUGGUGCAGACUUUCAUUCUAGUGUAUCACCUUAUUGUCAUCCAUAUUUAGUGCUAUCUUCUCAAAUUCUACGACUCAAUUAGGUCUUAAUUAAGGUUAUCCAAACGUUGAAUUUCCUCGUAUGGAAUCGAACGUUAUAUCUACUGGAAAGCCCUUUGAGUAGUUAAAAACUUUGUAUUUGUUUUGUUCAAUGUUCUAAAUAAUGAUACUAAUGUUGAAAUUUUCUUACGAAUAAUUAGAACUGGAAGCUAUGUUGCGAUUCAUUGAUAUUCAACUACUUACAUACAAAAUACAGGACAAAUCUUAUAUGAAAAUCCAUGAUUCUACGAGCUAUAAAUGCUGAAUCAAAUCUAUAAAAUGUUUGCUAUUUAUAUAGAUUAGAUGCAGAUUACUCUAGCAAUAUUGAUUUGCUUAAUUCUGGUGAUUGAUUGCUUCACUACCACCAUUAAUGGGAUCAUUGUCUUCAUCAUUAUUGAAUGCUUCAUUACCAAUAUUUUUGUGAUCAUUUCCGUGGAACUAACAAAGCAGAAUGGAUAAGGAUAUCUCGCUCACUACCUUCUUGUUUCAUCCAAUUAGGGAUGUCAAUUGGGCAGAGCCGGUUCGGCUCGUCAAAGCUCGGCUCGUGGGCUGCUCGGGCUCGUCAAAUGAUGAGCCCGAGCCCGAGCUCGAGCUGAGCAGGGGGUCGCGUCCAACGAGCCGAGCCGAGCCGCUCGGCUCGUCGAUCUCGAGCGGCUCAUGGGCCGAGCCCACAAGCCGGCUCGUCUAAAAAAGUGGAAAAAAAUAAAAUUUUAUCAAUAAAAUUUGCAAAAAAAAAAAUAAUAAAAAAUAAAUUCACGAGCUCGCGAGCCGCUCGUGGGCUCGACUCGACCCACAAGCCUGUGGCUCGUGAGUACACGAGCUCAUGGGCAGAGCCGAGCUCGCCCACGAGCAACGAGCCGAGCCCGAACCAAGCUCGUGGGUUAACCAACCGAGCCGGCUCGACUCGGCCCACUGCCAUCCCUACAUCCAAUGUCUACAGUGAAGAAUUAGUUAUGGCGUAGGAGUGGAAAAAUGUGUGGUCUGAAAUUUAAGACAUUAGUUGGAGAAAGUAUAGACAAUGAAUUUGACACGCAAUACCAUGCACAUGGUUACAACAGCAAGAUUGUUGUUAGUUUUUAUAUUGAAAUCACUGUUCAUUUUCUGUCCAAAUUCAAAGACUAAAAGUAAAUGAAUAUUUACAUUCCUUCAUGCUUUCCACAAAAAAUAUAUGGGAAAUGAGAAUACACGAUGUUCUGUCACAUAUCAUUCAACCGUUUCACAAUAUUUCAUUGCAUAUACUCUAGACCCCAUAAUAUAAUUAAUUAGUCCCUUUCUCUGGAAAUAAUGCAUUGCUCUAGAUACAAUAUUUAGGCAUUUAAUUAAUUUCUACAAAAACUGUAUUUUGAUGCACCACAAAUUUAUUUACAGCAGCAGUCCUAAGCGGUUAGUAUUUUAUAGAACAAAAAUAGUUAAAAGCUUAAAAUUAAUAAUAUUUAAAAAUAGAUGACAAAUUAGAAAAUUAUAGACAUCCCUUGAAAUUUGAAAAUAGUGACUAUUACAAAUACAGCCUCUCCAUUUUAAAAAAAUUUGAAAAACCUCCAACAAGGUUUUCAUUACAUAUUCUCCCUGUCAACAAAAAGCAAAAAUAUAUUUUUUGUUUAAUCCCUUUGCAUUGUACUAUUUUGAAAUUCUUAUUACAUACAAUUAAACUAUUUUUCCAUUAUUUCUUUAAAUUUCUUAAAAUACCUUACAUACUAUUAUUAGCCUUAGUUAAAAGAAUAUCAUUAUGAAUUGUGAUAAUAUCUUAAAAGAUUUUAAAAUACAAUUUACUUUCUAAAAACAUUAUAUGUUUUGGCUAAUAUGAUUGACGAAUAUUUAAAAAAUGAAAAUAAAAACAUGUUAUAGAAUAAUAUAAUAAAGAAAGAAAAUAAUUUUUAAAUAUUUUAUAUUUCUUGAUUUAGUAGCAUUUUCUAUAAUUUUUACUCAUUUAUACUCUUAAAAUUUAAACUACACUUAGAAAAUCAAACUAAUAAUAUCAUAAUAAAGUUGGCAUUAAAGAUUUGUAGUUUCUUUUUAAGCCAAUAUUUUAGAUCUAUUUUUUAUUUAUUCAUUUUUAAAAUGAGAAAUCAAUUUUCAUUAGAGAUUUUUAUUAUUUACUUUAAUCAUAAGCAAGUGAGUAAUGUUAUUCGUGGUCGCUUACUACGACAGUCAAUCUACGUGUUAUAUACAUAGUUGGUGAUUAUUUAAUGCAUUGUCAUGUGUAUGUUACAUAAGAUGACUGUUGUAGUGAGUGACUGUGAAUUGCAUUAUUCUAAGUAUGAUUUUGUAUUUAUGGAUCUCAACCUCAAAAGAUGGACAUAUGCAAGGACUUUUAUUCAAUUGAUACUUAGUUUUUAUUGUAUAUUGAUUUAUUUAGGAGAAACUAGAUGUUGUAUGGCACAUGAAGAAAUGAGGCAGAAAUUGAAUGAUAAGGACUAAGAAGAAACAAUUUGUGGAAAUUUGGGACUGAGGUAUAAAUAUUCGAUGAAGGACCAACAAUGUAAAUAGGAAGUGACUCGAGCUGAAUCGAUAGGAAAACUUAGUGACUAACCUGAAUCGGAAGAGAAAUGGAUGCACCUUGCAAUUGCAAGGCUCUAUCUAUGUGAUCAGAAGUUUUACCAAGUUCAAGAAUAUUAUCAUACGAUCACAAUCAACGUUACCCUGCUAUCGUGUUGAUUUCAAUCACGUGGUUUUACAAGGUAGCAAAGAUUUUAUUUCUUAAUUUAAAUCAAGUUCUACAUGGAAUGGGAUUAGAGCACAAAUUUCACCUAAUUCUAGAGGCUACAAAGACAAUUAUUCAUCUAGCAAAAGGGGAAGAGAGUUUUGAGGGAGACAAAAACAUACAUUCUAUACAUUUUAACCAUCAAGAGCUUUGUUCCAAGCAAGAGAGAACUGGGAUUUCUUGAGCACUCUAUUGAAGACAUUGAAAUAGACAAAAUUUGAUCCUGAAAUUUCUUCUUGCAAUUACAUAUUCUGGGUUAUAAAUUCUCAAUUUAUUAUGAAUGUUUGUAAUUUAAGCAUGAUAGGCUAAAUCUUUAGUAGUUCUCAAUUUGUUUUGUAAAAUGUUCUAAAUAAUGAUAUUAAUGUGUGGUCAGAAAUUUGAGACAUUAGUUUUGUCUUUAUGAUAGUUGGAAAGCAAGUAUAGCCAUUGAAUUUAAAAUGCAAUAUCCUAUACAUGGUCACAACAGCACUUGUUUUUUUAACUUGAAUAAACUGAAAUAAAUCACCAUCAACACAAACUUCCAUUUUUAAAAAAAGUAAGAUUGAUGCUGUUUUUAUAUUAAAAACACAUUUCAUUUUCUGAUCGAAUUCUAAGACUAAAAGUAGGUAUUUGUAUUCAAAACACAGUCCAUUUUCUAUCCAUAUUCUAAGACUAAAAGUCAAUUAAAAGAAUAUGGAAUGAACAUUUAAAUUCCUCCAUCGACUGCUCCCAUAAUUUCCAUAAAUGUGGCAUGGAGAUUCCAUGGUGUUCUGUCACAUAUCAUUCAUGUAAGUGUUAUACUCUAGGUCCAAACAACUUUGGACAUAAACAUUUUUAAUAUAUAAUUGAUGCAAUUUUAUGGUAGAUCUAUUUUUAAUUAAUAUUAAAAUAAAUUAAAUAAAUGAGUCCGUAGAUUCAAAUCUUGAUAAUUUGUUAUUCACAAAGAGGUAUGAUUGUGACAUACAAAUUAUAUAUGAUUGAAUCUUAAAUCAAUCAUGGUCAUAAGUAAUAACGAGUUAUAGAUAUCGUUAUUACGAACAGACCAUCACGUGUGNAGACCCGCUAGGAGAUUUCAUAUAAGUAACUAUUUGAGUGUUAAUGGUUAAUCUUUAAUGUUUGGUAAUGGAAUUGAUCAUUUAACUUGAGAUCAUCAUAAUACCUUAUAUAAGGACAGUCAUACUUUGGUGAUGUUGGAUGUUGCUCUACCAAGAGUCGCUAAUACGUCAUCGUUCUAGUAUGUCAAGAAUCAUAUGAAGGUUGUGAAUAAUCAAUAGAGGAUUCGUCACUCUUCGAUAGUAAGAGAUUAUGAUCUAAAUUUCAUUCAAUUAAGUUGAUAAAAAAAUCCUCGGCCAAGAUGUACUAAUAAGUCGAAAAAGAGUUUUCGACUUAUAUUGACUUAAUAUUGGAAUGAAAAAUAUGAUUGAUAAUUGAGAUUGACACGUAUCCAUAUCUCGUAAUUGAUCGAAUCACAUUAACGAAUGGAUAAUAGAUUCACAGUAAAUGAAUAAAUUUGGUUUUGUCAUACCACGUGACAUUUUUCCUUCACAUAUAUUCUUCUGACGCGAUGUUAAUCAGGGACGAUGAAUGUGAAUUUGUGAUAAAUUAAAAAGGGGUAUUUUGACUAAUUCAAAAUAAUAAUUCAUAUCGUUAGGAAUCGUAAUUGAAAACCUAAUAGAUUACACACAAAAGGAGAACUAGAAGAACAAGAUUUAUCAAUUAAUUAAUUGACAAGUGUCAGAUAAUAAAUUAAUUGGAAACAAAAUGGGUUACAUACAAAAGAAUAACUAGAAGAAUGAGAUUUACCAAUUAAUUAAUUGACAAGAAUGAGAUUAAUUAAUUCAUGGACCCGAUUUAAUUAAUUGGAUUAAUUAAAUAUUUAACGGGGUUAAAUUUAAGAGACAGGCCAAUCCCGUUUGAACUUAUAUAAAUAAUUUGUUAUGGUUUGAAGACUGUAGAUAGAAAAUUUAAUAUUUUUGCUAGCACAAGAAAAUUAAAAAUCCUCAUUCUCUUAAUUUUGUUCUCUGUGUAGAUUUUCAUUGAAAGCUGCACAAUUUGACAGCUGUGGAUUGCAGAUCGUAAUUGUUGGAUUUCAAGAAAAGCAAAUAAUUUUGCAGAAUUCAAUAAAGGUAUGAUUUCUAUCACAGUUUCUAUCUAAAUAUAAAGCAAAUCUUUGGUGAGAAUUGAAAUUUUGUUUAAAUUCUACAGUGCAUGAUUAAGUAAAUUCCCAAUAAUGGUAUCAGAACCUAUUUUGUAUUUGUUAGAAGCUUUUUUGCAUCUUGGAGUAGUCAAAAGUUGAUUGUUCAUAUUUUUCUUGUUUUUAGCAAUUAAAUUUUAAAAAUAAAAAAAAAGUAAAAAAAUUGGAUGAGGCUAGCGACAAAAGUUGCCACCGACGAGACGAUAAGGGAACGCGCGCGACACAGCGCAGCUAUUGCUUGCUAACACCACGGAGCACUACAGCAGCAAUGACGGUCGUUGCCACUAUCAUCAACAGCAGUGCCGAUUGCUUGUUGCUUCAGGGCGCGGAGUUGCAACAACAAACCUGCACAUUGCCGUUAGUGCAAGUACCAUUGCUGUCUACGACGCCCAGGUUGGUUGAAAGAGGAAGCGUCGGCAAUCCACCAAGAAAAGAAGAAGGAUUAGGGUUUUCAAUUCUAGGGUAUGCUAAUCUGGUCAGCAAUUUGGAAGUAGGGCCUCACGUGCAAUUUAUGAAAUUGCGAGGGGCCUUCUGCAAUAUUUGAUUCUGGUGUCAAUGUGCAAUUAUUAAAUAAGGGGCCUUUAUAAAAUUUUAGAAAUUUUGAGGGCCCUAUUAAUAAUUUUAAAAUGGGCCAGUUUGCAAUUUUCAAAAAGGAGUUUUGAAUUUAAAUAUUAAAAUGAUUUUAAAUUUGAUUUUGAAUAAGUUUUAACCUGUAUUGUUAAUUUUUACUCAAAUUAAAAUUUUAUUUAAAAUUGAGGACUUUUAUAUUUUCGUUAAAAUUGGAUUUUAACUUAAAUAUAAAACUUUGUUCCCAAAUUGAAUUUUACUUCAUUUAUGAGCUUUAUCCUAAAUUAAAAUCUUAAUUCAAUUUAAUUAGGCUCUAAUUUAGUAUAUAAUUAAAUUUUGAUUUUAAUUAAAAUUUUCACCCUAAUAUAUUCUUGGAAUUGAGUUGGACUCUAAUUAGAUAUUUAAUUAAAAUUUAAUUUUAAUUAAAUAAAACCCACUUAAGUAUCUUGAAAUUAGAGUUGGACUCUAAUUUGACAUUUAAUUAGAAUUUCAUUUUAAUUAAGUUGUCUCGCCCUAAAUUUUUCCUUGAAAUUAGAUUCGGACUCUAAUUUGGUAUUUAAUUAAAAUUUAAUUUUUAUUAAAUAGGUCGCCUUAAAUCUUGGAAUUAUAGUUGGACUCUAAUUUUUCUAUUUAAUUAAAAUUUGAUUUUGGUUAAAUUUAACCGCCUUAAGUUUUGAAAUUAGAGUUGAAUCUAAUUUGAUAUUUGAUUAAAAUUUGAUUUUAAUUAAAUAGUCUCGCCCUAUAAUAGUGGAAUUAGAGUUAGACUCUAAUUUCGUAUAUAUGAUUAAAAUUUGAUAUUAAUUAAAUUAAUUGAUUGAUUAAUUAUUUAAUUGUUCUGAUCCAUUUGUCGAAACUAGUUUGGACGACCUUAACUGCUAGAAACUUAAAACAUGUUUGCCUAUAAUAUUAGAUAUUAUAUAGGAAAGCAUUUAUACCAUAUUUGUUUUAUUAGUGAAUAAUUAUGGACUCGACCAUGUGACUGUGUUGAAUGAUUAGUUUUAUUCUUGUUGUUUUAUGGCCUUAUGAGCUCUUAUUUAUUUUGGACCUAUGAGUCCGUUGUGAUUUUGUGAGCCUGUAAGUCUAAUUAUUUAGGCCUGCGUGCCAACUAGUAUGGAUAUAGAUUGCAACUAGACUAAUUGAAGAAACAAGAAGAGAAGGAGACCAUAGAGAUGGAGCAUUGUAUGAAUCAAUGCAAUACUCCUUGGAAAAUCGACCAACUAGUCUUUUUUUAUGGUUCAGGAAGACUAGAUAGUAAAAGUUCAUGAUCAUUAUUUGCAUAUUAGAUGUAUGUGUGUGUGUAUUAUGAUGAGACAUUUGCAUGCAAAACCCCUCAUUAAAUAUUAAGUCAAAUUAUUAUCCGCUUUCCAUCAUUAUAGUGAAAAACAAGAGUCCUAAAUCAUCUCAACUUAUUGAGUACAUUCAAGACUGGUCUAUUAGGGAUAUGUUUGGCAUUGUAAUAUUAGAUGUUUUUUAAUGAUGGAUUUGACUUAACUAAAAAAAAAAACUUGUUAAGUACACUCCAGGAAAUGAAUUUUUAACAAAAAAAAUAAUUUUAGAGGCAUAUUAAGCUAAUAUAUAAGGUAUGUGAAGACAAAGAGUUGUCAGCUUAAUGAUCUAGAAGUUGUAUGGAAAUACAAUUGAUAAUAGUAUUUAUCCAAAUGUUUUAUUAAGAUUUGUUGAGUACACUUAAUAUUUUAAUAUAACAAAUGGGAUCCCAAGCCACUGAAAGUCAAGUAUAGAUUUUAUGAAUCUAUGCAAGAGGGUCAUAAAUUUGAGUUAAACAUUUAGAGCAUAAUUAGUUUGAUAAAAGGCCAUGUUAAAUUAAUUUAUACAUUUAAUGUAUUAUUCUUUUACUUUUCGUCAUUUAUAUUUAUUGAAUCAUGAGUAACCAUGUGUAUUUAAGUGGCAUACUAGAUGCUAACAACCAAAUUAAAUUUGCUUGACUGGCACCGCAAUCUAAGAAUUGUUCUCAAGCAUAACAAAAUUGGUUGUGUUCUUGAGUAGCUCUUUCCAUAGACACCUGCUAACGACUUGUUUAAAGAAGAGGUUGCUACUAUAAUUAAUAAAGUGGUGACGAUAGUACUGCAAUAUGUGUGAUGCUUGUAUUAUGUCACAUGCGUCACAAAAGCAACAUGAUGGUAUAGAUGAUAACACAUGAUUUUUAUCUAAAAGAGUUGUAUGAUAAAUAAACGCGUGUGGAAGGAUACGAGACUUCCAAAUAACUAUACCGGUGCAAAAUAACAGAGGAAUCUUCAGUUAGUACUCAUGUAUUAAAUAUGAUUGACAUUGAGAAGUUGUCUCAAUUAAGUUCAAUCGUGAACCAUGAACCAAGUAUUAACUUAGUUCUGUCAUAUUCGCCAACGAGUUAUUCAUAACUAAUUAUGAAUUUUGAUAUGAAUAAACUUGAGUACACACUUAUUGAGUUGCUAAAUAUGCUUAAAACAGUUGAGUCCAAUAUCAAAGUUGGGCAAGUCAUUGAUUCCUCUAAGAAUUGUAAGAGAAAGUCUAAAGGAUGCUUUAGGCAAGCAUCCAAGAUGGCUAAGAUGGUCAAAGUAAAGAAUGACAAUAUCAAAUCUAAUUAUACUUAUUACCAUUAUAGAAUGAAAGGUCAUCGGAAGAAAGAUUACUAGGCAUAUGUUUACUUCCUGUAUGUUGAAGAUUAGCAAAAGUUACUAUAUUGCAUGUAUGAGCAUACUUUUGCCAUUUUCUUUAUGCUUAGUAUUAGAAUUAGAGAAAUAUUAUUUUGUUCUCAUCGUUACCAAGAAUAUUAUUUGAAUUUCAUGUUUGGACAUGAAUUGCUCUAAUACUGAGGACAAUUGUUGCUCCUUUUGAUCUUGAUAAGAUCUUAAUGGUUAUGGUAAAUUACAAAGUAACAUUUAUAUUCUAAAUAUUAUUUAUUUUAUAAUAAGUAUGGAAAUUGAAAGACAUAAAAAUGAUAAUCUGAAUAACACCUAUAUAUGACAUUGUAGACUUGGUCACAUAAAUGAAAAUACAAUUUCAAAAUUGCAUAGAGAUGUAUAUUUGAGGUCAAUUGAUUUUGAUUCAUUUGACAUGUACGAAUCAUGCUUGUUAGGCAAAUGAUCAAAUAUUUUUUUACUUGAAAAGGAAAAUGUCUACAUAAUUGCUGGCCUAAUACAUAGUGAUGUAUAGGGACCCAUAUCAAUUAAUACUAGAUGAGGUUUCUCUUCUUUCUUCACAUUUGUUUGCAAUUAUUUCAGAAAUGGUUAUGUAUACUUGAUGAAAUCAAGCAUGAAGCUCUUGAAAGGUUUAAGGGAUUCAAGUUAGAAGUAAAGAAAUAAUUAGAUAAAAUACAUCCUCACACUAAAAUUCAAUCGAGGUGAGAUAUUUUAAAGAUGAAAUUUUAGAUUAUCUAAAAGGGAAUGAGAUUAUCUUGCAUUGAACUACUCCAUAUACACUGCAAUAUAAAUGGUGUAUCUGAAAGGAAUAAUCUAAACUAUUAAAUAUAGUGCGAUUAAUAACAAGCCAUACAAACCUCACAAAAUUGUUUUGGAGUCAUGCAUUGAUUACAAUGUGCUACAUACUAAAUCGUAAACUUUUAGAUAUAGUGUGAUUAAUAACAAACCAUGCAAACCUUUCAAAAUUGUUUUGGGGUCAUGCAUUGAUUACAGUGUGCUACAUACUAAAUCGUGUCCCAUCUAUAUCGGUUUGCAUUUUCUGCCUCAUUUUUGCAUUUUUUUUUUGGUCUACAAAUGUUGCAAUUUCUCAAACAGUUUCUUCAUACCUUUCGACAUUGUUCCAAAAUUUCGUAUACCACUCAAUAGUAUUAUAAAUUUGCAAUUGGUCUUACUUUUGUCAUUUGUUUGCAAUUAUUGUUUCAACUUCUCUCUACUAUCCAGUCUCCUACCCUUUAUAGCCUUUUGUCUUCUACUUUCUACAAAAUUUCUAAUGGAUUAUAGAGGAUGGAACCCCAGUUAGGAUCUUCAUAUAAGUAUUUCUAAAUUAAAACCUUAUAAAUAGGUCUCCUUGUAGUUCUGUAGAGUUUAAAACUCCACAGGGACUAUGGACUAGAAAACCACCAAAUCUAUCAUAUUUAAGAGUCUUUGGAUAUGCUGCAUAUGUACAUCAGAUUGAGGGGAAAUUAGACCCAAGGGCUACCAAGUGUGUUAUGCUUGGAUACCCUGAAGGGGUUAACGGGUACAGGUUAUGGAUACUUGGUAUUAAGGGAAUAAAGAUCAUUAACAACAGAAAUGUGGUGUUUAAUGAGAUUGAGAUGCCUUGCUUGAAGAAUAAAAUGGAUAAAUUAGAUAUGGCUGAAAAGGGUACUUCCCAAAAUGAGGUGCAGUUGGCAAGAUUAAGUAAUAACAAAUCUGAUAUAACUGAACCAGAACCUGUACAGGCUAGUGAAAGUGUAGAAAACACUGAUGAAGGUGAAGUUAAUCCACCCCAAACUGAAGCUGAAACAAAAUCUAAAAUGUGGCAUCUAGCAACCCGGGAAAUGAAGCUAGUACCCAAGAUUAUCAAUUGGUGAGAAAUAGGAAAAUGAGACAGAUUAAACCUAACCCUAGGUAUGAAAUGAAUAAUCUAACUGAAUUUGCCCAUAUCUGGUGAAAACUUAGAACAUUCUGAAACCCUAAGUUAUGAAGAAGCAAUGAAUAGUUCUAAGUUAAAAGAAUGGAAAGAAGCAAUGAAAAAGGAAAUGAAAUCCCUUCUUGAAAAUAAAACAUGGAAAUUUGUAAAGAAGCUAAAGAAUCAAAGAGUGGUUCAAUGUAAGUAGAUCUUUAAGUUGAAAGAAGGGAUUUCAGAAUUUGAUCAUUUGAGGUAUAAGGUAAGGCUUGUAGCCAAAGGGUUCACUCAAAGGGAGGGAGUUGAUUACAAUGAAAUUUUUUCACCUAUAAUUAAAUAUAAAACUAUAAGACUCAUUUUGGCUCUAGUUGUUUGAUUUGAUUGGGAACUUGAACAAUUAUACGUGAAAAUUGCCUUUUUACAUGGGAAAUUGGAAAAGGACAUUUACAUGUGUCAACCACAAGGUUUUGAAGAAAAUGAGAAAUCUGAUUUUGUUUGUAAAUUGCAAAAAUCUUUGUAUGAACUCAAAUAAAGUCCAAGACAGUGGUAUAUAAGGUUUGAUACAUAUGUUUUGAAAUUUGGUUUUAGAGGGAGUAAAUAUGACCAUUAUUUAUACUAUAAUAAUCUAAAACUGGCAUUGAAACAUAUCUACUACUCUAUGUAGACGAUAUGUUUCUGGCCAGCCCUAGUAAAGCUGAAAUAAUAAGGCUGAAAAAUCUAUUAAGGUUUUGACAUGAAGGACUUGAAAAAUGUCAAGAAAAUUUUAGGGAUGGUGAUAAAUCGAAAUAGGCAAGAAAAUAUGCUAACUAUAUCACAAGAACCCUACCUUGAAGUUUGGCAUGAAAGAAGUUAAGUCUGUCAAUGUCCCCCUUGUUGCUCAUAUGAAUCUCUCAUCUGCCCAGUGUCCUAAAAUUGAAUAUGAGAUUAAAGAUAUGACAAAUAUUCCAUAUGCCAGUGCUAUUGGAUCUGUUAUGUUUUCCAUGAUUACAACAUGGCCAGAUCUUGCAUAUUCAAUCAAUUUUUUAAGUAGGUUUAUGGCAAACCUUGGGAAACUGCAUUGGGUUGGGUUAAAGUGGCUACUUAGAUACAUAGUUGGGAUACUAAAUGAAGGAUUGAUGUUCAAAAAGGGAUCAAAACCAUUAACUCUUAAAGGUUAUGUGGAUUUUGAUUUUGUUGGAGAUAAAUAUCAAAGAAAGUCAACAACUACCUUCUUUUUUACAUUUUGUGAUAACUAUAUUACUUGGAAGUUUCAACUUCAAUCAAUUGUAACUUUGUCCAGCACUGAAGUUGAAUAUGUGGCAAUUACUGAACGUGUAAAAAAAUGCAUAUGGCUUAAAGGGAUCUUGACUGAACUGAAUUUUUUGAAUACUCUACUCGUAAUAUUAACUGAUAGUCAAAGUGCUCUACUUUUAAGCAAAAAUCCAGUCUAUCAUGAAAGUCAAAACACAUUGAGGUGAAGUAUCAUUUCAUAAGAGAAAAAUUCUCAUCUGGCGAAAUAGUUAUUGAGAAAAUUCAUACUGACUUUAACCCUACUAAUAUGGAGACUAAAAUAUUGCUUGUUAAUAAAUUCAGAUCUUGUUUAUCAUUGCUUAAUAUUGAUACAGGUUGAUUUUUGUGCAGGUAGUAGGGCGAUGAUGUAGGGUAUGGUUUCGUCACUAGCAUUAUAGCAACAAGAGAGGAAGUGCACGGUUUGAGAACCAAGGUGAAGAAUUGUGGAGUUGUGUUUCUCAAACUACACUUGCAUAAGUGAAAAUGUGAUUUGUCCCACUUGUACUCCUAUGGACAGUUGGCACUUGGGCAUUGGCUAAUAAAUGGUCAUUCGAGUUGUGCUUUCUCUUGGCUAUUGUGGACCGUUGAUCUAAUCCUAAAGCUGAGAUUUAAUCUUCCAUUAUUAAUGCCUUUGGAGACUUUUAAGGCAUUGAGUCUUCAAUCAGUCCAACACUUUUGAAGAAUAGUCUCUCGGGUUUUCUCUCUCUUGCUCUAUCGCCUCUGUUCUUCCUUUCUUCUUAGAUCUGGAGAUCUUUGGUAGUUUUGUAAUAAUCUUUGUAGUUAUCUGAUGCUGGUAGAACGUUUGUACAGUUUUUUAGACCUUGAUUAUGGCUGGCAAACUUGUAUUGUGUUCUCUGCAAGAUUCUAUCUAGUCUUGUGGGCUAAGAUUCGAGUUAUUGAGAGAUCCUUGUGGAUUGAUGACCAUAUAGUUGGUUUGAUUUGGUUUUCUCAACUGUUCGUACACUCUCUUGAAGGUCUCUUUCUAGUGACGGGCUUACCUUGGAGCCCCCCAGAUUAGGCUGUGUUUGGCUGAAUUGAGUGAACAAUCUGUGUGUUUGAUUUCUGUUCUUGGCGUUCCUUUUUUUUUUUUUUUUUUUUUCACUAUUGCUUGUGGGGUUUUACAGAUCCGGUUCUGGGUUGGCCAAUAAAUACGCCACCAUCCCACCGCAAAUUUAACAUCGUUGAUCGUCACUUGUCACCACGUUUACAACCAGAUCUGCACCAUUUUCUCCUAUUUUGGAUCGACUGGACGUUCUAGGUGUUGACUAAAUGGACUUGGAUGAAAUAGUGGCAUACUUUUGCUCAAACCAAAGUGACUCAAUAUCUGCUUUCUCGCUCCGUGAAACACAAAGCUGCAGUUCCAUAAUUCAAAUUUGAAUUUCAUGCUAUAUGUUUUUAAAUUUCAAUCUCAAUCGUUAUUUUUAUUUUAUUUUAUUUUAUUUUUGUUUUUCCUAAAUGGCUGGGUUAGACUUCAAAAAUUGCAAAUUCUGCUUGUAACUUUUUCCUGUGCUAACGCCAUACUUGAAAUUAAUUUGAAGUGAGUGUUACAUAUUUAUUGUAUAAGUAUAAAACGCGAAAGAAAUAAUCAAAUUAAAUAAAGUGCCCAAGUGAUGGGAAAUGUGAUAUUUGUGUGGGACGUUAGGGGUUCGGAUCACUCCCCACACAAUUAUUAAAAAGUCUUGAUUGCUCGUGGGCUUCCUUGACUAAAAUAAAAAUUUUUAUUAUUAGUUUAUUUAUUUUCGAAAUUAUUUAAUGGGUCAAAUUAGCCAAUAUUUUCUGACCAUUUUUUGUAACAAUUCACUACUCACAGUCAUUAAAAUACCCACUACUCAUAGCCAUUAAUAUUCUGCAAUUAUUCUCUAGUCAUGGAGAAGACGAUUACUUCCAAUUUCGCCUAUAUAAACUCAUGUCUUUAUUUGGGAAAGAGACACAUCAAAGAAAUCAGAAAAUCAUUUGAAAAGAAAUCUUAUUUUUCAUCCUCUGAAUUUUUAUUCUCGGUUUUUACAUAUAUUCUGGAAUACCUUUGAGAGUUCUGAAAAUCAUUCGUGAUUGCUGCACAAGUGGUUUACGAUCGUUGUAUCCUGGGAGUAAUUGUCCACGGAUGUCGCAACAGUUAUCGACGAGCAAUUUCACUUUAGGACAUCGUGCUGUCACGAGGCUCGAUCGGACGAUAAGUUUUAUAUUUCUGCAUUUUAUUAUUCUAAAUGUUGCUGCAACUAAUUGUUUUUCCAACAGUAAGUUCGAAUGAUUUGAUUCGGAUGGUGUUGGUUGAGAUCGGAGAAAUCGAACCUAAUAAUUGGAGAUGGGAUGUGAUGGCGGUAGCGGAAGGUUGCAGUAAUGGUUGGAAACUGUUUUGGAUGGGAUUGUGUUAAGAGUUUGGAUUAGCAAUAACAUGAGUAAAACAAGCAACGUAUCUUACUCUCAUAUAAAAAAUAUUUAAUAGAGUAAUAUAUAAAAGUAACCCAGUAACAUACAUAUUACUCGCGUGAAAUGUGAUUUGUAACAUGUAAUAAAAAAUGUAGAUUUGAAAUUUUGAUUUUAAUACAAAAGUAACACAGUACGUUAAAUUUUGUGAACCAAAGUAACAUGGUAUUUUUAUUUUUAUUUUUAUUUUUAUUUUUAUUUUUUGGUGAUGGUUUUUUUUUGGGGGGGGGGGGGGGGGUACAUAAACACAAAAAUUUAAAACGGGGAUAUUUUUAAAAGAUGUCUAAAUUUUUUACUGUGGAUUAAAUACUUAAGAUCAUCUUGUACCUUUAAAUUUAAAGUAUGAGAAACAAUGAACAAAUGGAAAAGUUAGGCAUCAAAAUCAGGAUGAAAUAUGUUAAUCAAUAUUUCUAUGACGUUAUUAUUAGCACUUGCAUUUUCAAAAGUGAAAACUAUGAGUUUAUGUUCAUUAAAGAAGGCCAUGAAAAUAUUGACAAUAUUUUGUGAAUAAUGUGGAUACUCAAUGACCUUAAAUGCAAAGAUCAUUUUACGUAUAAUCCACAACUUACUAAUUGUAAUGGUUGUCGCACAAAUAUAUGUUUAUGGUUUCUCUCGCAGCCCAUCAAGCGGUUGGUUUGUUCCACGUGGAUGUUAAUAUUUCAGCUUCAAAUUGAGGUGCCACAUAAUAAUUAUUAGGUUUAGAUUUUGAUAGUUAAAACCCAUUUGAAACCAAACAAAACUAUUUGCCCCAAUUUUUAUUUUUUAUUCAGCCGUGCAUAGAGCUUCUGCCCAAAACCCUUUUGCAAGCCCAGAACUGAUCAAUAUAAAUCUUACCUUAUUCAUGAGAGUUCUAUUCAUUCUCUCAACAACCCCAUUUUGUUGGGGUGUGUUCUUAAUAGUUCUAUGUCUAAUUAUUCCCUUUUGCUUGCAAAAAGUAUCGAAUUCAACAUUGCAAAAUUUCAGCCCAUUAUCUAUCCUUAAGGUUUUUAAUUUCUUGUCCAAUUGGUUCUUCACCAUCUUUAACCACAAUCUGAAUUUUUGAAAAGUUUCAAUUUUGGAUUUCAAAGGAUACGUCCAGACCUUUCUAGAAUAAUCAUCAAUUAUGGAAAGAAAAUAUUUAUUUCCACCAAAGGUUGGGUGGUUUUCUGGCCCUCAUAAAUCUGCAUGGAUAUAGUCUAAUGGUCUAUUCGUCGUGUGAUCCAGUCUCAAAACUCACUCUAUGAGAUUUCCCUAACACACAUGUUUCACAAAAAUCAAAGGGUUCUACUUUAUCUUUUCCAAACAAAAUCUGGUCAUUAAAAUUCUUUUAGCCCUUAUUUCCAAUAUGACCCAUUCUACAAUGCCACAAUUCAUAUUUGCACUCACUUAUAGUUAAAGAUCUUGAGUCCUGGGAAUUAACAGUUUUUCCCAUUAAGUAGUAUAGCACAUUCCUUUUGGGCCCCUUCAUGAUUAUAAGAGAUCCUUUCAAGAUUUUCAAUGUGUUAUUUUCAGAUUUAAAUGUAUGUCCCUCAUCUUCAAGAAUUCCUAAUGAAAUGAGGUUUCUUUUUAGAUUUGGGAUAUAUCUCACAUUUUCAAUCUGCCUGACAAUUCCAUCAUACAUUUUGACUGAAAUGUCACCAAUUCCAAGAAAAUUUUAUGAAUUGUUAUCACCCAUAUAUACUUUCCUAGGUUCUAUCUCCUUGAAGUUAUGAAACCAAAAUUUAUCUUGACACACGUGAAAGUACAUCCAGAGUCUAAAAUCCAGUCAGUGUAUAUUUCUUCAUUUGUCACAGUUAUUACAAGAAGGGUGUCAAGUUCAGAACUCACAACAACAUUAUUUAACUCAAUGUUGCUGGAUUCUUUUAGCUUUUUCUUUAACUCAAAGCAAUCUCUUUCGAAAUGUCCAAGUUUUCCACAGUGAUAGCAUUUUUUAUUGCUUUUGUCUCUUGAUUUAGAUCUGGUUUUUGAUUUGGACUUGAAUCUUUUAUUCUGUGAAUUAUUUUCCCUCUUCUCUGUUCUUCCUCUCACAAAUAAACUCUCAUCUCUUGAAUUUAGUUUAGAUUCUUUCUUGAUUUUCAAUUCCCUAAAUCUUAGGGCAUUUGUUAUGAUUGAUUGUGUUAAAGCAUCUCUAGUGUAUUUUAUAGCAUUUCUGAUAUCCUUAUAAAAAUUAGGUAAGGAGUUUAAAAGAAUCGCUGCAAGAUCCUCAUCUUCAAACUCUUUAUCAUUAGAGCAAAACUCUUCACCAGUAUACUAAAAUUACUCAAAUUGGUUUCAAGGUCUUUCCGAUCAUCCAUUUUAAAACUGAACAGUUCUUCUAGGAGAUAAAUUUUAUUUGAUAAAGUCUUGGUCAAAAAAAUUAUCUAAGGCUGUCCAUACUUGCCUUACUAUCUUAUCAAAUAAGUGUAGGAUAAUCGAGCUAUAAGCUAUUUUAUUCAUUUCAAGAAUCUCAUCAAAUCUGGCUUUAAGUUCGUCAGAAAAUUUAUCAGGGUCAUCCAGGGCUUUAGCAACCAUUUGUUGGACCAAUAUGGCCCUCAUUUUCUACUUACAGAUAGAGUAAUCCCCCUUUCCAUCAAAUUGUGAUAAUUCGACCUUCGAACCCAUCAUAGGUUCUGUAAAAGGGUGGUUACUGUUGGAAGCCAUGACAGACACCUCAAUUUUUGAUUACCAAAAUACUAAGAAACUUCCUAACAAAUUUAAAAUAAUGCAGAUCACUGAAUGAAAAACAACUAUCCUAACUUGCACAACUGAAGUAGUAUACACAAACAGUCAAUGUGUUGGGAAUUCAAAGAAUUACACAACAAAUAUAAAGAACUUUGUAUAAUACAUAAACAUGCUCCUAUUGUCAGAUUAAUUAUCAAUACAUAAUAUGCAAUGUCAGUAAUUAAUCCACAGUACAAUAGACAUGUAAUUUUGUGCACCAAAUUAUACAAGUUCUUUUA